rnacentral:lncRNA from 1 species
GUAACUCCACGCACACAUCAACUUGGUUCACCCACUACGCAUACGCAUCACGAAAGCUCUGGAUCCGCCGAUUACGUGUAUUUGCCAUAGCACGAAGCGAAAACGAGGUGGUUUGAUCGAUGCCGUGCCUGCUGCCUGAGCUAUCAGCUCACUCGCACUCCUCCUCACCUCAGAGCGCGGACCUGAUGACGGGGAACGUGUCCUGCUGCUUCUGCUCUGCGCCUGCGCCUGCGCCUGCGGGUGGGCUCAGCAGCUUGCCCAUCUCCUGCACGAACGUCUCCAUGGCGAGGCCGGGCAGGCACAUAGGCACGACGAUGCCGUCCUCUCCCUUGGCGUUCUUGAACGGGAUGAAGAAGCUGGCCACCCCGGGGAUGGCGCCCACGCCGCCCUUGGCGGGGCCUCCGUACACCGGCUUUCCCCAGCCGAAGUCGAGGUCGCCGAACCCGGCCUUGGUCACGUCGGACGCCAGGUACGCGCGCACCGCCGUGAAGUGCGGCCGGCCGCGCAGCACCAUCAGGUCGGCCACCGACCGCAUGUACUCCACGUUCACCUCGCCCUUGGCGCGCUUCACCAGCUCCACGGCGUAGCCCAGCGGGCUCGCGGCGAGCUCCCCCGCCGUCGCGACGGCCACCGGGAACGCGAACGCGUUGCCGUAGUAGCCCUCCGGGAUGGCGAUCCCGGACUUGCCGCCGCGGGCGUUGACGAUGCAGAUCAUCCGCAUCACCUCGUCGGCGUCCGGCGCCAGCGCCGCCGUGCGGCACUUCCACAGGAGCCCCGUCAGGAGGUCGAACGUGGAGGCGCGCGCGCGGAGCGCCGGCGGGAGGUUGGCGCGGAUGGCGGCAAGCUCCUGGCGCCCGAAGAAGAAGGACCGGUGCACCAUGUCGUCCAGCGGGAUGAGGGUGCCCUUGGUGUCCGGCACCUCGUCGUACUCGCGGUGCGCGAACGCCGGCCGCGGCGGGUCGCGCGCCUCCAGCAGCUCUCGGCACCAGACCGGCCGGACCGUCGGCGCCGCCGCGCCACGCGCCAGCUCCGCCACGGCGCCCAGGAACUGCACCAGCCCCUGCGCGUCCGCCAUCGUGUGGUGCAGCCGCACACCCAAGAUGAAGCCCCCACACGCCAGCCGCGUCACCUGCACGUGCACGUCCGUCACGUUAGUUUUUGUUUAUAGUUAAUAAUUACCCAUGCACGUCGGCACGUGAAUAUGAAAGUGCCGUCGGCGUCACGACGCGUCGUAGUACCUGGAAGAGGAGGAGCGGCGAGCCGAGGACCUGGGACGAGCCGGGGACGUCGAAGAUGAGCUCGUCGAGGCACGGGAACGGCGGCUGCAGCGCGUCGCCGAAGUGGUCGAGGCGGACGUCGGCGUCGGCCUCGAUGAACAGCACGCCCUCGCCGGUGCACUCCACGGCGAGCUUGCGCGCUUGCAGCUCCCUGAGCCGCCCGGCGAACGGGUAGUAGUGCACGAGCGCCCUGGCCACGGCGUCCCGGAUGACCGGCGCGGGGUCCCGCCCGCCCAUGAGCGCGCUCCGGCGGUAGAACUGGAUGACGGGGAUGUGGAACCGGAGGCCGUCCUGGUCGUCGAUGUCCGAGAGCCGCUUCAGCUCCCGCGGCGUCGGGGACGCCGGCGCCACCAGCACCGCCGGACGCCUCCGCACCGUGAACUUGAGCGACGACGCCAUUAUUCUGGUGACGCACAGACUGGUGGUGGUGCUCGCCGGGUCUGGAGGAGGUGGCAGAUUAAGGCUGCUCGUGCCUGCUCCUGGUGCCGCUAGCUGGGUUUUUGGUGUGCCGAGAGGGAGGGGUACUGGGCGCAAUUAUAUACUCGCCCGUACAGUACAGCGAGGGAAUGUCAGAGAUGGUUUUGCAGUGGAAAUUAGGGAGCAGUUGCUAAACAAGUUUACACGCCCAGCCCAGCCCAGACGCCCUCGUCAUGUGAGGUCAAGUCAACAGAAAAAGGCACGGCUUAUUGUGAGGAUUAUUGGGUGUUCAAAUUUGUAAAGAUGAUCACGUACAGUGUGGACGAACGGGACAGUGGGGAAUGGGUCCGGACGUCCAGGAGAGGUCCGGCGUUUGGCGCUUGGCGACGCCGAGAGGUCCAGCGGUGUGCGUAGCGAGCGGCCGUGUCGUGGUCUCGUGGAGGUGGUGGGGAAACAUGAUACUGAUACAGGGGAGGGGACUUGCGGCGGCUUCCCUCUCUGCUGGAUGGGCAGGAUGGCUCGGAACCUCCGGAUCGAACGCAGACGUGUACCUCUACUACUACUCCUACGAGUUCAGAACGAAGGGCUAGUUUUCCAACGACCCCGGUAAAAUUUUUCCAGUGACCGUUAAUAGGCCCGUACGCGUGUGCAUGCACAUUUUGCUGUGUGGUGGUGCUGACAGCUGAGCACUCAACUCAAGUCCGUGGUGUCGUCGUCGCAACGCUACAGCACCAGCACGCCCAUGAGACCAUAUGAGCCCUGCUGCUGCCACCCGCCGGCAAAAAGCACGCGGAACGGGGGCGAAAAGGAUGGUGUUCCGUGCCCAUGCCCAUGGACUCGUGGUGGCGGUGUUGCUUUCCUUGCGCGCGCGCGCGGCGCCGGCACGUGAAAAGGAUCGUGUCUCGUGUGGCGGCCGUUCCCGCGGGCGUCGUUUUUGCAAAAAGGAUGAUAGAUAUUUUCCGUCAGAAGUUUACAGCAGGGACGCGCGUGUCACACCUUCGUCUUCUUCUUUACUGACAUGGUCACCUGGAUCUAGUCUAGAGAUAAGAGUGGUCGCUACUCGCUACUGGUACAUGCAUCCUCUAGCUAGUCGUUCGUCCGUCCGGCCGGCCGGCCUGUUCAAAGUAAACUACUCUGGAAUUACUGCUGAAUUAUUCGCCUCACUGGAGGGAUCUAUCUUCACAGCCUCCUGCUCAUUUCUCUGCAAUUUCACUAGAUAGAGGUUCUGCAAUCUGCAUGCACGCUGCAUGCCGGGCUCCAAAGUAAUUAUGCAGGAAUUGAAGCUGAAUUUCUCCACUGCGGGUGGGCGGGUGGCUCUGUCUCUGUGGCCGCUCGCCAUGCUCCUUUGCUGCAACUCCAGAUGGACACGCGGCGAGAGCCAGCAGCGAAGUCAGAGUAAAUCAGAGCGAAAUGCACAUGACUUAUGAAUGUGUAGAUAUGUAUUUUAGAAGGUAUAUACAUGGUGAAAUUUUAACUAAUUCUAUUAUUUUUACAAUUUUUGUGGUGCCUUUGACCACCCCCCCCCCCCCCCCCCCUCUCUCGCGGUGUAGCUUCGCCCCCGAGAGCGGAUGACCAUAGGUUGACGAAGUGGGAUGGAGGCGACAGAGAUGGAUUUGGAUUGGAUUGGAUGACACGAAAUUAAGGCCUUGUUUAGUUUCCAAAAAAUUCUCCGUCAUAUCGAAUCUUUAGACGUGUGUAUAAAGUAUUAAAUAUAGACGAAAACAAAAACUAAUUAUACAGUUUGGUCGAAAUAUACGAGACGAAUCUUUUAAGCCUAGUUAGUCUAUGAUUGGACAAUAUUGGUCAAAUACAAAUAAAAUUAGUACUAUUUACAUUUUGUAAAAUUUUACAAGUAAACAACUCCUAAAGGAAAGGACGUAUGGUGUGGUAUGAUAUGCUUGCCUGCACUAACGCGAAGUGGGUGGCCUGGUUGAUUUGAUCGCUACUCGCCACUACCCACUACUAGUAACGAAAGCACUGGCCACUGUGUAUUGACACGACCCGGCCUCGUGCGUGCAAUUUCCUUCCUUCGUUACGUCCAUUUCAUCCUUCUCCUUGGGCUGGUGAAUUCAUAAUUCUAAUUCUAUACUGUAGUUAUUAGAUGGAUAAUGGAGGACAUAAUUAAGCCGGGAGCAGGUCGGUCUGAACAAUUAGCGCGUUAUUGGCAGGUGGUUCGAUGGAAGAUACGAAGCAGCUCGCCUGGCAGUCCAUGCGGGCAUGUCCGAGACUGAGACUUCCUUAGUUCACCCAAAAAUUAAAAAGUUUUUAAGUGUCGGUGUUUUUCCUCCGGGGGGUCACACCAACGAGUAAAUUUGUAUGCGUGCUCCCCUUUCCGGAUGGUGAUGCAAGAAGACACAGAGAUUUAUCCUGGUUCGGGCAAGAGAAGGCCCUACGUCCAGCGGGGGGAGAGAGUUUGUAUUAUCUUGCACCUAAGUGCUUGUACAGGGGCGAAUACAAGCGUGGUAUGAAGUGUGUAGCUCUACUACGUGUGUGUGUUCUUGUGUUGUGAUGUCUCCCUCUUCUAUUCCUGAGUCCCUCCUUUUAUAGCUCCAAGGAGAGACAUAGGGUACAUGCAUAGAUGUUAGAGUAGGGAUCGAUAGCCGCAUGGAGCGCUGACCUACUCGAGGCUUCCGUACGGCGUAGCUUCGAGCCGUCCCAUCUUGAUAGCUCGGUGAUGAUUGCGCGUGCUCCUGUGUUAUGCCCUGCCAGCCGCCUUGUGCUGGUUCUGAGGUCGCAUGCUUGUACGGUAUGGUGGCGGACCCGACGGGGUUGCUGUGAUGAAGUCAGUCGACGCCCAACUUGUCCCUAGGAAGGGACCCUGUUUGGUCGAGGUUCGGACGCCGUGUAAUAUGCUGGUAUCUGGAGCGCUGACCUUGGGUGUCUCGAGGGGGUCCCGAUUAGACGUUCCAUCCUUGUUUCCUGCGUCCUGACAUGCCCUGGGUCGUUCGGUGGGAAAGCUGCAAAAAGAACGAUGGGACAGAAGCUUGCUCCCUAUCACGCCUUCCGUGACCUGUGUGUUAGGUGGGGAAGCGUCAGGCGCAUUUAAUGCUCCCGCCCGCGUGCGCGCGUCAGGCGGCGGACAGUGUCCUGGCGCUCGACGCCUCUCGGUUCGCUCGAGCCCGCUUCCGUUUUCGACGGUAGUCGUCGCUCGAGCCCCGAUCGAUUCGCUCGACGCUAUUUCCGUCUUCGAGGCUGCGACCGUCGAUGGCGACGCUUACGUAAGAUUAGAGCGUCGAAUUAAGGCUCUCGACCUUCGUACGGGCAAUCUCAUAAUGCGCAUCGCUGAGGGUACCCCUUGCCGAUACCCUCGACAUUAAGAUUCUCCAUCACAUCGAAUUUUGCGGCAUAUGCAUUAAGCAUUAAAUAUAGACGAAAACAAAAACUAAUUACACAAUUUGUCUAUAAAUCGCGAGACGAAUCUUUUAUCCUAGUUAGUCUAUAACUAGACAAUAUUUGUCACAAACAAACGAAAGUGCUACAGUAGUGAAAUCCAAAAAAAUUUCGCAUCUAAACAAAGCCGGCAUGUGAUUUUUUUUGAUUUCGCUACUAUAGCACUUUCGUUUAUUGAUGACAAAUAUUAUCUAAUCAUAGACUAACUAGGGUAAUUAGUUUUUAUUUUUAUCUAUAUUUAGUGUUUAAUCCAUGUGCCGCAAAAAUUGAUAUGAUGGAGAAUCGUGAAUUUUUUUUUAGAUUUUGUGGUAACUCAACAAGGACUGAGAGCAUCUCUGGUCUUGUGAAAGCACACAGCACAGGUCUGGCUCUGCCUGACUGACUGACCAGUGUAGAAACUGUGAACUAACCAAGCGCCGGCCCUCGGUCGGUCAGUCCAGUCACCUCGUCUGAUGGUCUUUUUCGUUUCCUCGCCCGGAACACGCUGGCCACUAGUUCGUGUUCAACGUUUAAACACCAGACAUCGCUCCAAAUUAAAGUGGCCUCAACAGCUCCUUGUUGGAAGUAUCUAUGAACGUGUUUUACGAAUCAUUUGUAAGCAUCUCACCAAAAAAAAGGGCCCUAUAUGUAAGCAUAUGACAUAUAUAGGACACAAUAAUGUCUCAACUCAUCUAUUAAUAUUGGGUAAUAAUGGUACUAUACAGGAGUAGAUUUUAUUUGUUUUCCAUGUGAAACAUGAUUUGUUCAUGAACAUAGACUAUUCUCCGCUGAAUUGUUCGAGCACCAAACUGCACCCCACACCCCCCAAAAUAAAUAAAUAAAUAAAAUAAAAGAAGUUUCCCCGCAGAAAUUUCGUCUUGGAUAGCACUGACGGAAGCACUCGUCUUCAGUCAGUCCUCUGAAAGUUCUCCUAGUCUACAAAAUGCCGACUAGCUAGUCGUUAAGCAUUUAGCUUUAUAUAGGUUUUUUUUUUUGGAAAAAAAGCUUUAUAUGUCUUGGGAGUCCAAGUCGUCAUCUAGUCUAAAGAAAGAGGUAAAAAGUUCUCAAAAUAGAGUGAUGCAUGCAAUGCAAUGUUUGCUAUAUAUAUGUAUGCAUAUGUACACGGAUGCUAGUAUAAAAGUACCAGCAGUAACAUGUGGAGCCCUGCAUGGCUGCAUUUUAGGGGGUGUUUGUGUUGGGUAUUAAAGUUUAAAAGCUGUAGCAGUUUUGUCUUAUUUGAUAAUUAGUAUCUAAUUAUGAAUUAUUUGAGUUUAAAAGAUUCGUCUCUCAAAUUAUUCUUCAGCUAUAUUUUUAGUUUUGUAAAUAGUUUAUAUUUAAUUUUGUAAAUAGUUUAUAUUUAAAUACUCCAUACACACAUCUAAAUAUUCAAUAUAACGGACACUGAACUUUAAUGGGCCACCAAACGGGACCUAUGUUGGAUUGCACGAUACAUAACGACUUGGGCUGGUCAGACUCUCGGCAAUCCCACUUGCAUUGAACACUUGACCUGACGAGCGACGACCCAAGACUGAAUGUUGGGUCCUCUCCGUUCUCACUGUUAGUUGCCUCUUUUCCGGACUAGGGCCUCGUUUAGAUGCGAAAAAAAUUUGAAUUUCGCGUUUGUUUGUGGUAAAUAUUGUCUAAUUAUGAACUAACUAGAAUCAAAAGAUUCGUCUCGCGAUUUACAGUUAAACUAUGUAAUUAAUUUUUAUUUUCGUCUAUAUUUAAUGCUUCAUGUAUGUGUCGAAAGAUUCGAUAUGACGGAGAAUUUUGAAAACUUUUUAGUUUUCGAGGUGAACUAAAAAGUCCUACAAAUUCAAGUGCUUGUGCGCAGUGUGCUAGUGGCAAUUGGUUGGCUCCUUCCGAGAAAAUCUGUCCGAAACGAAUCCCGCGUCACAACUUUUAGCACUGUCGCCACGCUUUGAACCCUUCAUUCACAGGCUCACUGUCACAUUUCUAGUACAUAUACUAGCACAUGACUGUCCUAGUAGUUUCUCUGUAAGAUGGUCGGCCAGUUGACCAGAAUGAGCGGUCAUUUCCUCGCAUAAUCCAUGCAAGUGCCCUUCUUGGUCCAGUUUUUUUGGGACAUUCCUUGGUCCUUGCCAGAGAGAACCUGCACUUUAGGCCUUGUUCAGUUCGCAAAAACUUGUGAAAAACGGCACUGUAGCACUUUCGUUUUUAUUUGACAAAUAUUGUUCAAUUAUAGAGUAACAAGGCUCAAAAGAUUCAUCUCGCGGUUUACAGAUGAACUGUGCAAAUAAUUUUUGUUUUCAUGUAUAUUUAAUGCUCCAUGCAUGUGCCGCAAGAUUCGAUGUGACGGAGAAUCUUGAAAAUUUUUGCGAACUAAACAAGGCCCUUAAUUACAGCGUGCCACCGUGUGUGGUGCAUGGAGCUUCAGAGACAGAUCGAUCCAAAGAUGCCUGCUGUCCUCGGUCCCUGGUAGGGGUAGGGGUGGGGGGUUGUUUUCUUGGUCCGUCCGAUCCAUGCCAAAUGUUGGUAUGCCAACGAAAUUUGGCUUUUGUUUGGUUUAGAUCCAAGAUUUGGCGUGCCGUGCAAAUUUUGGCCGCAGCCAACUACAACAUUUGUUUAGUUCCAGGUGAUUUUUUUUAUUACUCAUCACAUCGAAUAUUUGACACAUAUAUGAAGUAUUAAAUAUAUACUAUUUGUAAAAUAAAAAAAAGCUAAAGAAUAAUUUAUGAGACAAAUUUUUAAGCAUAAUCAGACUCUGUUUGGUUCCCCUUCCUAAAUUUUAGCUAGCUAAACUUUAGUCACUUUAGUAGCUAGAAUUCCGAGUACAUUGACUAAAAUGAGCUAAAAUAGUUUAGUUCCAUUAGUCACCCAAGAGUAGCUAAAAUAAUUUUAGCUAGCUAAAAUUUAGCAAGGGGAACCAAACAUACACUUAGUCUAUAAUUAGACAUUAAUUAUCAAAUAAAACAAGUCUAGUCUCCAAUUGACAAUUAAUAUUUGAAUCCGUUCAACAAAUAUCUUAUAUCUUAUCUUCUCUUAUAUUUUUAUAAAACAAAACUUCACUACCUAUUUCUCAACAUGUAAACUAUCCAACUAAACAAUCCACUAUCAUAAACAAUUAAAAUUCACUAGCUCAUACAAUGUAAUACCCACAUCUAGUUACAUAUUUAUCUAAACAUGCAAGUUGUCCAACUAAACAAUACACAUUCUAAUCUAUUUAUAUUCCUUCUUCAUACAUGCGGCAAUAUGCGGAGAAUCCUUUGAAAGGAUCAAGAUGCCUAAGAGGGGGGGUGAAUUGGGCUUCUCUAAAAAUUUAAGCAACCUAUAAGCUCCAAUUCAACCCCUUGUGCCUAGUGUGACUUAGAGAGCUACCGGAUAAAAAGUUUUGCAACCUAGUUCCAAUCCUAUUCUAGCAUGGCAAUUCUAAGAAUGUAAAAGCACAAAGUAAAAGCUAGAAAGUAAAGGAGUAGUGGAAGAAAAUGUUCGGCGAUGUUUUGCCGAGGUAUCGGAGAGUCGCCACUCUCCACUAGUCCUCGUUGGAGCACCCGUGCAAGGGUCUUGCUCCCCCUUGGUCCGCGCAAGGACCAAGUGCUCUCUACGGGCUGAUUCUUCGACACUCCGUCACGGUGAAUCGCCCAAAACCGCUCACAAGCUUGACACGAGCCACCCACAAGAACUCCGGGCGGUCUUCGUGCCUCCAAUCACCACCGAACCGUCUAGGUGAUGGCGAUCACCAAGAGUAACAAGCAACGAACUCUCACUUGUCCCAAACAAGGCUCUAGAGAGUGGUGGAUGCACAUUUGACUCUUGAAACUCACUAGAGGAGGAUUCUCUCAAGAAAUCACUCAAGUCUCAAUCCUCUCUAGGCUCUUGCUACUCUCUUGCUCCACAACAAGUUUCUCUGGUGUUCAACUGGGCAAGAGACCUCUCAUGGACGAGGUGGAGGAGUAUAAAUACAAUCCACGAAGUCCAAAGGUCGGCCAACCGUUUUCCACUGAAAACGGGGUCACCGGACGCACAUUAUGUUGCACCGGACGCACUGCACCGAGCGUCCGGUGCUUCAUAACGGCUAACUGUCCUUCUCUCUGACAGGUCACCGGACGCUAACUUCCAGCGUCCGGUGCACCGUCCGGUGCUCGGGGAAACAUUACAUGCUCCCUGCGCAUGGGAUCGGACGCUACCCGGCGCGUCCGGUGCUAGCGUCCGGUGCUCAGGGAAGGCUUGCAACCUCCCUGGGUAAGGGACCGGACGCUACCCGGUGCGUCUGGUGCUAGCGUCCUGUGCCUAACCCUAAGCACGGCACUGUUCUAACAGCUAAGGACCUCAUCGGACGCACUCACAGAGCGUCCGGUGCAGUGUCCGGUGCCCCUUUGGGCACCUAAACUCUGUCGAAACGUGAUCGUUCCAAAACGAAGUUGGUUCCCCUCGAUCUAAGGACUAUCUCUGAGCUGCCUAGUGCUAGGUUUACCAAGUGUGCACCACACCUAAACCUAAAGCCUUGCCUAAGUCAAGCUACUAGAUCAAAGCUCCUCUUAAUAGUACGGUCAAAGGAAAACAAAGUCCUAAACUACUCUAAGUGCCCUUCUUCACCAUAUGGCACUUAGACUUAGUAUAGUCUUGACGAUGUCCAUCCGUCCUUUGAAAACCGAAACGAUUUCCACUAUUAAGUAGGCAUGUACGUCCCUGUCCAUCGAGUACCUAUUUACCAUGACCUUACCUAUGACUUUGCCUCUGCAAAACACACGUUAGUCAAAGUAAUCAAUAAUGUCAUUAAUCACUGAAAUCACUUAGGGGCCUAGAUGCUCUUUCAAUCUCCCCCUUUUUGGUGAUUGAUGACAAACUCGAGUAUGAAAAGAGUUGAGGUUUUUAAAGUGACUUGGUUUCAAUAAGCAUGUUGCAAUAAGAACAACGGGAUUAGUCAAGCUUAUAUCAACCAAGUCCAAUAUCCUGCAUCCAAAUAUGUGAGAGAUAUACGACAGGAUAUAAACAUAAGGCUCACAAGUACAUCGGAGUAAAACGCGGAAGCAAAGGAAUAUGAGCCAAAACACAUGACAUUAAGAUAUCACAAUAACCACAAGUCAUGUCUCACAACCGAAGUAUCUCACACAAGUGCAAUGCAGAAAGUAAAUGUGAUGCAUGAUAAAGUAGCACACAUAAAAAGUAUCUCAAAAGAAUAAACUCAAGAAUAAACUCCUAAACACCCUCUCUAGCUCCCCCUAACUCCUAUCUCUCAUACGCACACUCUCUCCCCCUUUGGCAUCAAGCGCCAAAAACCUAAGAAGUCGGUGGAGGAGGCGGAGCAGUGGAGUCCCUCGGCACGGCCACGAAGCGAGCUGCAUCAUCUGAACUGUCGGCCGUCGAGGCGGAGGAGGUGGAGUGACCUUCUGAAGCUGCAGGUGCUGGUGAAGCGGUCCGGGUCUGCUCUGGCGCUGUCACAGGCUGAGCUGGCUGCUCGAGUCCGGCUGACGAAGCUGGCACGGACUCGGUCGCUGUAGCUGUCGUCUCUGGUACGGUAGUAGACGGUGCAAGCUGCUCGGACGAUGCUACAGAUGACGACAGAAGCUCUGUAGUGGUAACUGGCACCGUAAAGACUGCAGGAGCCUGCAGAGGAGGAGGCGUAGGGUCACCAGUCAGAGCACUGUAGGUGAAGCUGAGAUGCGGAUCUGUCUGUGAAUCCCACACAAGCUGUGACGCUGACGCUGACUGAGGAGUGAAGCCUGAGCGGAGAGGAGUGAACUGAGGUGCCUGCUCAAAACCUGAAGAGAUAGCACCCUAGGAGACCUGGUGCUGUGGCGUCAAGAACGGCUGACUCUGAGCUGGUAGCUGAAGCGGCUGCUGGGACGGGCUCUGAGUCUGAGGCGCUGGAGUCGGUGGCCUGACAGUCGACGUGCCUGGGAGCUGAAUCUGCGGUAGCUGAAUCCUGGAGGCGGCCAUGAGAGCGGCCAUCAUCGCUGUCUGCUGGGCCUGGAAAGCAAGCUGCUGCUCCUGAAAGGUGAGAAGCUGACGCUGGAGCUCAUCCUGCCUGGCCUGCAUAGCUGCAUUGAUGGCAGCCUGAUCCCUGUCUCGCCUCGCCUGCUCCUCAGCUGCACGGCACUGAUCUGCCCUCAUCUCCUCUAAGAUAGCAAGCAGGGCAGGGUCUGAAACACUCGAAGAACCGCCUGCCUCGUGGUCGUGUGCUCUGGGAGGGAGAUCUGUCACUGGCGGCUGAUAGUCAUCAUCUGAACUGUCUGAGGCGAAGUCAAACUCUCCCUCUGCCUCUGCAUCUGCGAAAGCCCUAAUGGCUAUAUCCUGCUGCUCCUGUGUCUCUGCAACUGCUGUUGUACUGCGGGUGCCCCUAGGAGAAGGUGGGGGCACCGGUCCACGUGGAGCACGAGGAGGAGGUGCAGCUCGGAGGUCGUGGUGUGCUCGCAGCAUCUGCCUGGGGUCGUAGUGGGGGAAGACGGUGUCUGACUCUGUCAACUCCCUCUGCAAGUGAGCUGGCAGGGGCAGUGGCCUAGCAUGAAGUAUAAGCAAGGUAAUCCAAUGUGCGUAGGGAAACUGACGCCGGCCCCUGAAGCUCUCUGAGAUGGUGUCCUCUAUCUCUGAGACAAUCAGAUCCCAUAGGUCAAACUAUGUCUAAGUGAUGAGGUGAGCAACGAGCCACUGCUGAAUACGAGUGAAUCCGUCUCUGUAGCCUGUCCUGGGGAGAAGAGUCUUCCUCAACACAAAGUCGAGGAUCCUAGCUGGGCGUGUCAAAUCUCCCACUGUCCUACUGGAGCCCUCCCCAAAAGGUGGACGAAAACAUGGAGCCACGAAGUCAACCGGUGGUAUGUCACCACCGUGAGGACGACGAGGGGGAUCCACGUUCCCGUAGCACAGCUGGUGAAUCCUGGUGGGAGAGGCUCGCAGUCCAAGCACCUCUCUGGCCCUCUGAGCUGUCACUCUGUAGUCUAUGCUUGCCAGUGCGUAGUGGAUGUAAAUGUGAUCUGGAGAAACCCAUACUGACGCAUAGAACUCUCUGACCCACUGCUCACAGUAAGUGCUAGGGAGUGCUAGUAACUCUGGAAGUCCGUGGAGGUAGGUGAAAUACUGACGAAUGUCUGCUCCAACCACGUUCCCCAGUAUCUCUAGGUCUAUCACUCUGUGCUCCCUGAACUGAGCCUGAGAGCGAACCAGUGCCUCGUGGAUGUCCUCCUGGACGACUAUAUAGAACCUGGCACCGGCUCUGGGAUCCCUGGCAGCUGGAAACCAGGUGGGAAACGGAACGAACCUCAGCUGCUGGAUCUCUCUGGCUGACACAAAAGAGAGAUCCCUGUGGAUCCUGACUGGCCUCGGUCGAGAAACUGGAGUGCCUCUAGCUGGUGUAGCACGAGCAGUGGAGGUGGACUGACCCUGCGUACCAGUCUGAGGAGUGGCCUGGGUACGAGCGCGAGUCGACCUCCGGAGGGGCUGCUCCUGCUCCUGCUCCUGUGCUGGACCCUCUGCCUGGGUCUCUGUCUGAGUGUCUGGAUCCUCCUGAGAUGGAUCUCUGACCACAAGCCUAAUCCUCUGUCCUCCAAUCGUCACGGUGCCUGGAGGGGAUCCAUGGAAUGCCUCUGUCUCAAGAACUGCACGCCGCUGCCGUGGCGUGAGGUCAUCCCCAAUCCUCAGGGCACCUGAACGACCACCCCUCUCGGCUGCCUCAGCUGCUGCUGCAACUACCUCUGCGACCUCUGCAUCUCUGUCACUGGCCUUGCGCUUCUUGGUGGCCAACUUCUUGCCUUUCCCUUUCUCUGCCGCUGACAGGUGACGGGGAGGAUCACCUCCACCAUCACCCCCUGGGGAACCUCCUGAGCCAACUGCCGGACCACUGACGUUCUUGGUACGAGCCAUUGCAAAUCAGGCGACCGACAAGCAACCGACUGACAACAGAGAACAAAGCGCUGCAGAGAAUAGACAAGAUAGGAUAUAUAUAAGAAAUUAUAACAACUAAAGGAGAGAGAACCCUAUAGAUCGCAAGAUGAGAUAAAGAACGUGGGCGAACGGCUUACGAUCCAAGACGGGACGCGUUCCGGAUGGCAAAACACGAUCGAGAACAGCCGGAGACCACACAAUCCCUCAACAAGGUGCUGCAGACAGAGAACGGAGAAGAUCGAGGUCAAAAACCUUAACCUAAUCCAUUGAGACAUUAUAUCAAGCACCUUGAAGGCAGAGUUCAAGAACCUCACCCAAAACCCUAGAAAACUCACGAGAUUUUGGAUCCACGCGAGAGAGGGAGGGAGAGGAGACUCUCUACAGCAGAUCUGGCGCGGGGAAGAGGCCGAGGAUGCCGGAGAACGGUGAACGAACGUCGGCGACGGCGGGACGACGUCUUAGGGCACGGGCGGCUUGGGCGAAGUCGGCGGAAGAAAGAAAAAAACAGCCGCUCGAAGCCCCUGGGCGCGGGCUUUAUGCGCCCGCCGUGGGGUCACCGGACGCUCUUUAUGUGGCACCGGACGCGUCCGGUGACCACCGGACUCAUGCGCAGAGAAGGAUGCAAUUUUGCAUCACACCGGACGAUGGGCACCGGACGCUGGCUUUAGCGUCCGGUGCUUCAGGUCACGCUUGGUGAGCACCGGACGCACCGCACCAGACGCAGCAGAGACACUGUUCCUGCGUCCGGUGUGUGCAGUCUAGCACACUCACCGCACCGGACGCACCGAGGCAGCGUCCGGUGCAGCGUCUGGUGCUCCUCUGAGCACUUUUUCAACUAAGCACCACGUCCGACUUUGACCCAACCAAGUUCCAAUUUCAAAAACACACAAAUAAACACCAAAUGGAACUGGUAUGAGUGACUUCUCUCAAACCCUCAAAUUUUCACAAAUAUUUAUCCAUAGGCUUAAUAGUUUUUAUGAAAAUAACUCGAGAAAAUCACCAAGGAGCAUCGUAUGGCCAUAAAGCUAGGGGUUUGAGUCACAAUGAGCUUUGAAUGCUCCCCCUAUCUAUGGACGAACACAGUGGAUGCUCAACGAAUAACCGAAAAGAAACGGUCAACUAACAAGCAUGCAUAUGAUAUGAGUUGUAAUGCAAUACUUGAAAGUAAACUAAUGCUUGUCAGGUUUGAUCCAAGGUUAAGCUUUUUCACACACACAAGGGGGUUAUCUUAACCAUGUUAGACAAGCCCUACAUGCAAGUUGUAUUUUAGUUUUAGUAUGCAUGACAUGCAAAGCAAAAAUUAUUUACAAGAUUCAACACACAACUUUUAUCUUUUAGUGAAGUUGGAUAGGUCAAGCACAUUAAGUUCAUUUCUCAACAUACAAAACCUAGCUUCGUCUAGGGGUUUUGUGAAGAUAUCCACCAAUUGAUUUUCCGUUCCCACAUUCUCUAGAGAUAUGUCACCUUUAGCAACGUGAUCCCUAAGGAAAUCGUGGCGGAUGUCAAUAUGUUUUGUGCGGGUGUGUUGAACUGGGUUGUUAGCAAGUUUUACGGCACUUUCGUUGUCACAUAACAAAGGUACUUUGUCUAGUACUACUUCAUAGUCUAGCAAAGUUUGUUUCAUGUAAAGUAUUUGUGCACAACAAGCACCGGCGGCAAUGUAUUCCGCCUCGGCCGUUGACAAGGCGACACUAUUUUGUUUCUUUGACAUCCAAGAGACAAGUGAUCUACCUAGGAAAUGGCACCCUCUGGAUGUGCUUUUUCUAUCAAUCCGGCACCCGGCAUAAUCCGAAUCGGAAUAGCCUACAAGUUGGAAUCUUGCACCUUUGGGAUACCACAAGCCUAGGCAAGGUGUGUAUUUUAGAUACCUAAGAAUUCUCUUGACCGCAAUCAAGUGAGAUUUCAUAGGCAUUGCUUGAUAUCUUGCACACAUACACACACUAAACAUGAUAUCGGGCCUAGAUGCGGUGAGGUAGAGUAGACUUCCUAUCAUGGAGCGAUAGAGAGUCUUGUCAAUUGGGUUACCUCCCUCAUCCAAGUCGAGAUGCCCAUUUGAUGCCAUGGGAGUCUUGAUUGGCUUGCAAUCCAUCAUCUUGAACCUCUUGAGAAGAUCUUGAGUGUACUUCUCUUGAGAGAUGAAGACCCCUUCCUUCAUUUGCUUGACUUGAAAUCCUAGGAAGAAGGAUAGCUCGCCAAUCAUGGACAUCUCAAACUCCUUGGACAUCAAAUCACCAAAUUCCUUGCAAAAAUCUUCAUUAGUAGAGCCAAAAAUAAUAUCAUCAACAUAAACUUGGCAAAUGAAGAUUUCCCCAUUCAUUUUCUUGGUGAAGAGUGUUGUGUCAACUUUCCCAAUCUUGAAGCCCUUCUCAAUGAGGAAGUCCCUAAGCCUCUCAUACCAAGCUCUAGGAGCUUGCUUGAGACCAUAGAGAGCCUUAGACAACCGGUAGACAUGCUUGGGGUACCUAGGGUCUUCAAAACCGGGGGGUUGCUCAACAUAGACAAGCUCAUUAAUAUAACCAUUUAAAAAGACACUUUUCACAUCCAUUUGAAAUAACUUGAUAUCAUGACUAGAUGCAUAUGCAAGUAGGAUACGGAUUGCUUCAAGUCUUGCCACCGGUGCAAAGGUUUCACCGAAGUCAAGACCUUCCACUUGUGAAAAGCCUUUUGCCACAAGUCUUGCCUUGUUACGCACCAUUUUGCCUUGAUCAUCCUUCUUGUUCCGGAAGACCCACUUUGUUCCAAUCACUCUUGCAUCUUUGGGUCGCUCUUCAAGUGUCCACACUUGGUUGCGAGAGAAGUUGUUCAACUCCUCUUGCAUGGCCAUGAUCCAAUCCGCAUCACGAAGAGCUUCCUCUAUAGUCUUUGGUUCAUCUUCAAGAGACACAAAAGCGUGAUGUUCAAUAAAUAAAGCAUGUCUAGAACGAGUAGUUACACCACGUGAUGGACUCCCGAUGAUGAGAUCUUGAGAGUGAUCUUGGAGGAGAUGUGAUGUUCUUCUUGGUGCCACUUGAGGGGUUGGUUGAGGAGCAUCAACAUCUUGUGCUUGUGCCACCGCUUGCUCAUGAGUGACUUGGGUGUCUUCAUGAGCAUCUCUCACAUCCUUGUCUUCAUCUUGUGGACCUUGUGAGGUGGAUGGUGGCUCAAUGACUUGCACAUCAUCAUCAUCUUCUUUAGGCUUGAUGUCUCCCACCGGCAUGUUCUUCAUGGCAUCCCUCAAUGGUUCGCCACCUAUAUCAUUAAGAUUAUCACUUGCUCCUUGGGAGCCAUUAGUUUCAUCAAAUUCAACAUCAAAUGUUUCUUCAACCAUGUUUGUGGCAUGGUUAAAGACCCUAUAUGCCUUGGACUUUGAUGAAUAGCCAACCAAGUAGCCAAUGUCACAUCUUCUUUGGAACUUUCCCAAGUGUUGGCGCUUCUUGUAGAUGUAGCAUCUGCAUCCAAACACUCUAAAGAAUGAGACAUCGGGCUUCUUCCCAUUGAGCAAUUCAUAUGGUGUCUUCUCUAGGAACUUGUGAGGAAAGAGCCGGUUUGAAGCAUAGCAUGCGGUGUUGAUUGCCUCGGCCCACAUCUUCUCCGAAGUGUUGUACUCAUCUAGCAUUGUUCUUGCCAAGGUAAUCAAUGUCCGGUUCUUUCUUUCUACAACCCCAUUUUGUUGUGGUGUGUAUGUUGAGGAGAACUCAUGCUUGAUUCCCACUUCAUCACAAUACUCUUCAAUGUUGGUGUUGUCAAACUCUUUGCCAUUGUCACUUCUAAUUUUCUUGAUUUUCACAUCAAAUUGAUUUUGAGCAUUCUUUGCAAACUUCUUGAAUAUUGAUGCAACUUCGGCCUUGUCUUGCAAGAAGAAUGUCCAAGUGUGCCGGGAGAAAUCAUCAACUAUGACCAAGCAAUAUUUGUUGCCUCCAAGACUAGCAUAUGUGGUUGGUCCAAACAAAUCUAUGUGAAGUAGCUCAAGCACUCUUGAAGUAGAGAGAUAGGCUUUGGUUGGAUGUGUGUUUGCAACUUGUUUGCCCGCUUGACAUGCACUACAAAGUUUGUCCUUUUCAAAUGUCACAUCCUUCAAGCCUCUAAUCAAUUCUUUCUUCAUUAACUUCUUGAGUGUGCCCAUUCCAACAUGUGCUAACCUUCUAUGCCACAACCACCCAAGUGAAGUCUUGGUGAAUAAGCAAGUCUUGACAUCAACUUCAUUUGAUGAGAAAUCAACUACAUAUAAGUUGUUGUGUCGGAAGCCUUUGAAUAUCACUUCAUUAUCAUCUUCCUUGGUCACAAUUACUUCUUUCUUCUUGAAUAGGCAUUCAAAACCAAGAUCACAAAGUUGUCCAACCGAAAGCAAGUUGAAACUCAAUGAUUGCACAUAGAGCACAUUGGUGAUAGAGUUGUCAUUUGAUAUAGCAACCUUUCCUAGUCCCUCGACCUUACCUUUUGAAUUGUCACCAAAUGUGAUCUUUUCUUGAUUGUCAACAUCUUCAUCAAGAGAGGUGAACAUCCAGGGAUCUCCGGUCAUAUGUUGAGUGCAACCACUAUCAAUUACCCAAUGUGAUCCACCGGUCUUGUAGUUCACCUACACACAAGAGAUCAAGCUUGAGAUUUAGGGACCCACAUUUGCUUAGUGCCCUUGACCUUCUCUACUAGUUGCUUUGGCACCCAGAUCUUCUUUGGCCUUUGCUUGUUGGGCGGCCCCAUGAAGCUAACCUUGACCUUGCCACACUUGUCUUUCCUUACAAUGUAGUGAGCAUUGAAGGCAAAUGGUCUUGCAUGCUUGGGCAAGGGUGGUGGUAGUGGUGCCUUACACUCAUGAGCAAAGUGUCCUUCUUGACCACACUCAAAGCAUCUCUUUGGCUUUAGCUUGCUUGAUUGAUCAUGAGUAGCUAGUGACUUGAUGAGCUUUGUUUGAUGAGCCUUGUAGCCAAUUUCACUCUUGUCCAUCUUCAUGACAGUGUUCAUGAAAAGCUCACUUUGAAGUUCCUUCCCCUUUGUGAACUUUGCUAACCCCAUGGUUAGGUGUUCCUUCUCUUUCUUGAGCUUGUUGUUCUCUUGAGUUAGCUUCUUGAUGAUUGGGUCAUUGUUGCUAGCUAACUCAUCCAAGAUGAAUGUCUCAUCUUCUUCUUGCUUGUCAUACAUCAAACCAAGCUUGAGAUAUUGAUUUUCUUCCUUGAGUAACUUGUUCUCAUAUGCAAGUCUCUUGUCUUGAUCAAGUGUCUCAAUUACAAUGGUCUUGUGCUUUGCUUGGUCUUGCAACUCUUUCUUGAGCAUGACAAUUUCAUCCUUGAGCUUGAUAGUGUCCUCAUAACUCUCGGCCACUACCACUUUCUUGCCCUUGCAAUCAACACAUUUGCUUGUGCUCUCCACAAGUAAGUCAUCACAAGAUGUGGCUACAUCAAGCUUAGCAACAUUGUUAGUAGCAAUAUGUGUUUCAUCAAUUGCAAGUUCAUAAGCAAUCUCAAGGUUGUCAUAGUUUGCUUUUAGAGUUGUUAGCUCUUCUUUCAUUGCUCUAUAUCUAGUGAUAAGCUCAUCAUGAACACUCUCAAGUUUAUCAUGUUUUUCUUUGAACUCUUUUAGAGAGAGUUUGAGCUCCUUGAGCUUGGUGGUCAUGAUCUCAUUUUGGUCUCUAAGCUCAUCACUAGAUUUAAGCUUUGCUAGAAGAGUGUCAUUUUCAAGUUCAAGCUUUUCAUUUUCACUUCUAGUUUUUCUUAUGACUUUUGUGUACUUGUUUAGCAAUUUUACAAGUUCAUCAUAAGAAGGUGAUUCAUAUUCACUAUCACUUUCACUACUCUCAUCCUCACUUUGUACCUUCCGGUCACCCUUAGCCAUAAGACAUAGGUGUGUAGAGGAUGUAGAUGGUGGUGAAGAUGAUGGUGAUGGAGCAUCGAUGGCAAUGGCGGUGGCGGCAACCUUCUCAUCAUCACUUUCAUUGCCGGAGGAGUCACCACUUGAGCUUUCAAUGUCGGUGAGCCAAUCACCAACAAUGUAGGCCUUGCCAUUCUUCUUCAUGUAGUGCUCCUUCUUCUUGCCACCUUUCUUCUUGUAUUGCUUCUUCUCAUUCUUGUCAUCAUCACUUGAGUCAUCUUGCUCUUUGUUCUUAUUUUUGUACUUGUCCUUCUUGGGCUUUGGACAUUGAUGAGCAAGAUGACCAAGCUCACCACAAUUGUAGCAAUCCAUCUCGGAGAUGGGCUUCCUCUUGCUACUUGUGAAGAACUUCUUCUUCUUGGAGUCAAAGUUGACUCCAUUCUUGUUGAGCUUCUUCAACAUCUUUGUGGUUCUUCUCACCAUGAGGGCAAUAGAUGCAUCAUCAUCACUUGAAGUUGAUGACUCAACUUCAUUCUUCUUAGCCUUGCCCUUGUGAGAAGCCUUGAGAGCCAAGUCCUUCUUCUCUUUCUUGGCCGAUGAGGAGCCAUCUUGGGGGUUCAUGUGCAUGUACAUCUCAUGAGCAUUGAUCUUUCCCAAUAUGGCGGUUGGUGUAGCGGUGGAAAGAUCUCCUUGAUGAAGCACUGUUACUAUGUGCCCAUAUUUUUCAAUGGGAAGCACACAUAGUAUUUUCCUUGCUACAUCCGCCGCACUCAUUUGAGUGAGUCUAAGUCCAUUUAGCUCCUCUACAAUGACAUUCAAGCGAGAAUACAUUUCAUUAGCAUUUUCUUUGGGAAGCAUUUCAAAUGUAUUAAGCUUGUUCAUCACUAAGUGAUAGCGUUCCUCGCGUUCACUCUUUGAUCCCUCAUGGAGCGCACAAAGUUCCUUCCAAAGAGCAUUGGCGGUUUUGUGGCUCCGAACGCGGUUGAACACCUCCUUGCAAAGGCCUCUAAAGAUGUGGUUUUUGGCCUUCGCAUUCCACUUCUCGUUUUCUUGCUCUUGUGGAGUAAGAGCGGUGGCUCUUUCCGGAGGGGCAAACCCUUCGGUCACGGCUUUUAGGCACUUUACAUCGCAUGCCUCAAGGUAUGACUCCAUCCGUAUUUUCCAAUACGGGAAGUCAUCUCCAUCGAACAUGGGUGGCGGUCCAUCCCCGUUAGACAUCUUUCUCUAGGCGGUGAAGCCUAAAUAAUGAGCACUAGGCUCCGAUACCAAUUGAAAGGAUCAAGAUGCCCAAGAGGGGGGGUGAAUUGGGCUUCUCUAAAAAUUUAAGCAACCUAUAAGCUCCAAUUCAACCCCUUGUGCCUAGUGUGACUUAGAGAGCUACCGGAUAAAAAGUUUUGCAACCUAGUUCCAAUCCUAUUCUAGCAUGGCAAUUCUAAGAAUGUAAAACCACAAAGUAAAAGCUAGAAAGUAAAGGAGUAGUGGAAGAAAAUGCUCGGCGAUGUUUUGCCGAGGUAUCGGAGAGUCGCCACUCUCCACUAGUCCUCGUUGGAGCACCCGCUCAAGGGUCUUGCUCCCCCUUGGUCCGCGCAAGGACCAAGUGCUCUCUACGGGCUGAUUCUUCGACACUCCGUCGUGGUGAAUCACCCAAAACCGCUCACAAGCUUGACACGAGCCACCCACAAGAACUCCGAGCGGUCUUCGUGCCUCCAAUCACCACCGAACCGUCUAGGUGAUGGCGAUCACCAAGAGUAACAAGCAACGAACUCUCACUUGACCCAAACAAGGCUCUAGAGAGUGGUGGAUGCACACUUGACUCUUGGAACUCACUAGAGGAGGAUUCUCUCAAGAAAUCACUCAAGUCUCAAUCCUCUCUAGGCUCUUGCUACUCUCUUGCUCCACAACAAGUUUCUCUAGUGUUCAAAUGGGCAAGAGACCUCUCAUGGACGAGGUGGAGGAGUAUAAAUACAAUCCACGAAGUCCAAAGGUCGGCCAACCGUUUUCCACUGAAAACGGGGUCACCGGACGCACAUUAUGUUGCACCGGACGCACUGCACCGAGCGUCCGGUGCUUCAUAACGGCUAACUGUCCUUCUCUCUGACAGGUCACCGGACGCUAACUUCCAGCGUCCGGUGCACCGUCCGGUGCUCGGGGAAACAUUACAUGCUCCCUGCGCAUGGGACCGGACGCUACCCGGCGCGUCCGGUGCUAGCGUCCGGUGCUCAGGGAAGGCUUGCAACCUCCCUGGGUAAGGGACCGGACGCUACCCGGUGCGUCUGGUGCUAGCGUCCGGUGCCUAACCCUAAGCAUGGCACUGUUCUAACAGCUAAGGACCUCACCGGACGCACUCACAGAGCGUCCAGUGCAGCGUCCGGUGCCCCUUUGGGCACCCAAACUCCGUCGAAACGUGAUCGUUCUAAAACGAAGUUGGUUCCCCUCGAUCUAAGGACUAUCUCUGAGCUGCCUAGUGCUAGGUUUACCAAGUGUGCACCACACCUAAACCUAAAGCCUUGCCUAAGUCAAGCUACUAGAUCAAAGCUCCUCUUAAUAGUACGGUCAAAGGAAAACAAAGUCCUAAACUACUCUAAGUGCCCUUCUUCACCAUAUGACACUUAGACUUAGUCUAGUCUUGACGAUGUCCAUCCGUCCUUUGAAAACCGAAACGAUUUCCACUAUUAAGUAGGCAUGUACGUCCUUGUCCAUCGAGUACCUAUUUACCAUGACCUUACCUAUGACUUUGCCUCUGCAAAACACACGUUAGUCAAAGUAAUCAAUAAUGUCAUUAAUCACCGAAAUCACUUAGGGGCCUAGAUGCUCUUUCAUCCUUUUAGUUUUAUUUGUUUGUACAUUUGUCUUCCUUCUUGCAAUAAAAUCUACAAGUUAAUAUGACAAUUAACUAUGUUUUCAUAUGCUAAGAUAAUUAAUGGAUCCACGCAUCAUAUUAGUGAUUUUGGCAAGUAUUUGGCAUGACACAAUCCAAAAGCUACUUUUCACUUGGCUACUCAAGUACUUAUUAAUCAUUAGGAAUUCUUACUACAGGGUUUCAUGGCGUUGAAUGUCAAGGUAGACAAAAUAAUCACCCUCAAUUGAUGCAUAAUUUUAUAUCAUUAUUCUAUAAAACAUUUCGUUCCUUGACUAUCUAAAGUUGUAAACCGAGCCAAGGGAGUUUUAUCUACAUAAAACUCAGUUCUUAUUCCUCUUAUUGAAAAACUUGUCAUAUUAUCAAAAAAUACUUAUGUAGCAAACUAUAUAAAUGCGAAUGAAGUUCGGAUUAAACUUUCAUGAAACUACCCUUAGCUACUCUCAACUACUCCAAUGUGUCAAUCCAAAAUUAAGAAGGAAAGCGAUGCUGCGAAGGGCACAAUAAUGGGAAGGGGCGAGGGAAAGGAGUAGCAUGGAGAGGCAUCAAUGCUCUGCGAGAGACAUGACUCCGUUUCCCAUUGUGUGAAGACACUCAUGUAGGGCGAAUGCAUGAAACAACCAGCCAGGCCGUUGACAUGCGUCGAACACUCGUUCACCCCAAUUGUAUGAAGGCACAUGAUGUUUUGUUCUGGGCUUCAUGGUUUUCAGCCAAAUUUCAAGAGCCAAAUUUUAUUUGGUGCUGCAGCUCUAUUUGGGCAAUGUGGCUAAAUAGAAAUGAUGUGGUAUUCAACAAUGUUAAAACUAGCACCUUUUUAUGAGUCAUUUUUAGGAUGGCAUAUUGGAUUCAACUAUUGACAUUUCUACAUAAAAAGAAGAUGAAAGAUCACGCACAAGGAUGCUUGCUGAAUGUUGGAAGCGGUCAUCAUGGAGGUCUCCGUGAAGUUUGGAUGGAAGUUUCGUGAUAGAAUUGAACCUUUUUUUGUUCUUUGAAUCCAUUAUCUUUAGCGAGUAAAGUCAUUGUGUCUUCUCAUAUCUAGAAGUUGACCUUCAACGCUCUUUUUUGUACUGAACAAGUUGUAUAUCAUUCUCCGAUGGUAGAGGCUCGGACUUUUGUUCCAUUCUCUAAAAAAAUGGUUUAGGUAGUGUUGGGGAUUUGAUCUUAGGCAAAUAUAGUCCCCAACGUUUCGUUUCAAUCUAAUGUUUUCUUUGUUAGUGCUCGCCUUUCAUGGGUAUCUUCACGUGAAAAAUAAAAGGAGACUUCAUACGGUAAGAAAGGAAGCAAAGUCAGUUGAACCACUUCGCUAGAAUACAAAGACAUAGAACAAAGAAUGAAGAUAACUAGACCACUUUGCUAUCAAGUGAACAUUGAGCAAACGAAGGUAACAUGAUUUGUCUCUUAGACACGAAGCCAUCGAUGUUCUCUUCCAUGAAGGGCACUAGAACAUGUGAAAUGUUGAGCUAAAGAGUAAUGACCAAUACUCCCCUAGAAGUUAGAAGGGUUGUAAUCAAUUGACUUAGGGGUACUUUAAACUUUGCAUUAGGAUUAACGAGGUGCAAACCUCUAUAAAUACCCCUUGACAUGUACUAUAAAUGGACAUGAAAUAAAUACUCAAUUAAGUUCACAUUGUCUUUUGAUGCUUGUGUGAGUAAUCUUACCCAACAUGUGAACAUGACAUAGAUGUAGAUCUUAUAGAGAACAAACUUAUUUGAUCAUUGUGGAUACCCUAACCUAUUCAAUUUCACUUGGCUACUCAUUACCUAUUUGCCUAUAUUUUUUUACAAAGAAGUGCAUAUGCAUUGAUUAAAAGAUUUUGUCAAUUAUGAUGAUGACUUAGAUUAGUUUCUAUAAUUUUUUUUAAAAUUACAUAGUACAACAUAAAACACUUACAACGCACGCACACUACCAACAUCAAAAUUACUCAAAGUUGGGCAAAUAUAGUUUAUUUUCUUUUUCCAACAAGUCAGUAGGAUUCUUUUUAAAAUUUUGAAUGAUUUUGUUUGCUAUUUUUAGUUUCUUAGAGCGUUUGCAUUUUUAAUGAAGUGCUAUUUCUUGUAUGAUUUUUCUUUCUUAUUCUAUUAUUUGAGAUUUACUUAUAUGGCCCUCAAAAAUGCCUCUUUCUUGCAUGACCAGUUUUUUUGAACUUCCUUCUACGGUCCUCAAACGAACUUUCAUUCCUUCUAUGAUCUUCCGUCCGUUUUCAGCACUUAACGAUGUUGAGUGGAGGUUAAAAAGACCAUAAUACCCCUGGCAUCAACAAAAAUUUUGCAAAGUUUGGUUUGUUUCUUGUAUAUUUUGAGUAAUAGUAAACAAAUAAAUUAACAAUUUAGACAUUAUAAUAGUACAUAUCUGGAUCACAAUAAAUAUUUGGACAGCAUCACACUACAAUACAAUAUGUGCUAAAAAUUUUCAUUUAUACAAGAAAUAAACCAAACUUUAUGAAAACAAAUUUCAUGCUAGGGGUAUUAUGGUCUUUUUAUCCUCCACUUAAUACUAUUAAAUGCUGAAAACAGACGAAAGACCAUAGAAGGAAUCAAAAGCUGAUGCAAACCAAGAUGAGAAAAUAGAUAGAAUAGAGUCAGAGAUUUUUGUCACAACAAAGAAAUCCUUCCUUGAUGAAGAUAUUGACUUUGCCAUUCCUCAAGUAAGAAUAUAUAGCAUAGAAAUUCAUAAUCAUUUAUGGAGACUACAGUGAAUAGGGUACAAAUUAGAAAUUUCUAAGCAUAUAUAUGUCUUUAUCUCCUUAUGCCUAAAUAACUGAAUGAAAGGAUCUCUGCUUGCAAAAAUCAAAGAAUCUCUGUCACUAGCACAUUUUAUUUGCCAAGAAUAUAGAAUGUUUACUUGAUCUGCAUUUUUUUUUGGGGGGGAGGGGGCAUUGUUUGUAUGCUUAUGUUUUCUGCCAAUUUUUUUUUGAAAAUGCUCUCAUGUAUUCACUGUUUCACUGUGUCGACGAAAGCUGGUCGGCAGUCUACCUUGGGGUAUACCCACGGUAGUAGUUUAUCGGUAGACGGUGCGCAAACUACGAACUCGAUGGUGACGCAGGACACGGACAAGCUUUUUAUCCAGGUUCGGCCGCCGAGUUGGCGUAAUACCUACGUCCUGCGUCGGGUUGUAUUGGAUUGUGUUGAGAGAUUAUGAUGUGUCCUAGGGGGGUCCCUUGCCCCUCCUUAUAUAGUCCGGAGGGCAGGGUUACAGAUCUGGAAACUAAUCCUAGUCGGUUACAAUUGCCAUGGAUAAUUCGAUAUCAAUUCCUAUUCUAACCGACUAGAAUCCUGCUUGAUCUCCACAUCUUGUUUCCUUGCGCGAAACUCCAGGUUGUCGGAUCAAGCCUUGAACUCGUCUCGUAAUGGGCCAAGCCUCCUGGCCCAAGUCUAGCCAUAAGGGUAUAGGGGUUUGUACCCCCACAGCUAGUCCCCGAGCACCAUGUAUUGUGAUGUAACACGCCGUCUUGAGCUUCUUCGAUCAGUGAGGCUUGACGUCUUCAAUAAGCAGGAAAGUCGCCCGAACAGUUGCAACGGUAUUUCGACCAACUCAAAAGACAGUUGAUCAACAUUGACAUCGAAGAAGCAGGUUGUUCGAAGAAUGCAUGGUGCUCUUGAUUAAAAAAAUUUCUUUCUUGGUGAAGUGUGCCCACUUUACUUUUCUAAAAAGUAUAGUCUUUUAAAAAGCAAGCAUAUUCACCGCAAGGUGAAGUGUGCCCACUUAGUCCCCGAGCCUGGUAGUAGGUGACGUAGGCACGUGGUGCCAGGGUCAAAAGAAAAUUCCCCAAAGUAGUUUUGAGACUGAGAUGCAUCGCAAGAUGCAUCGUACCGAUGUAGUCCCCGAGCUUGCUGGAAGGCGAAGUAUGAGCCUUGUAGCAAGGUCUAAAAAAUUGAUUUUACCAGUCCCCGAGCAUAUCAUGCUCGUCUGCGAUUGAAUAGACUAAUUGACCAGUCUCCGAGCAUAUCACGCUCGGUGGUCGGUACGUGCCUUAAAGCCUUGAACCGAUAGACUGAGCGACCAGUCCCCGAGCGUCGAGUACUCGGUGGUCGGUACAGUCCUUGAGGUUCCAAGAUGAUAGACUGGGCGACCAGUCCCCGAGCGUCGAGUACUCGGUGGUCGAUGCAGUCCUUGAAGUUCCGAGCUGAUAAACUGGGCGACCAGUCCCCGAGCGUCGAGUGCUCGGUGGUCGGUGCAGUCCUUGAAGUUCCGAGCUGAUAAACUGGGCGACCAGUCCCCGAGCGUCGAGUGCUCGGUGGUCGGUGCAGUCCCUGAAGUUCCGAGCUGAUUGACUGGGCGACCAGUCCCCGAGCGUCGAGUGCUCGGUGGUCGGUGCAGUCCCCGGAUUGCUGACUCACUGGCGUAUGUGUCUUCUUACUUUUGAAAAAGUCUUUCCCAUUAAAAUUGACAUGACGGGGUCUCCUGACGAUAUGUCAGACGGAUGCAUGAAAAGCCGCGCCUGGCAACUGUACAACCGCUCUUUGCAUGGUUUGAGAAAAGGAAACCAUCAAUUGAUACGAAAACUCCGCCGCAUUAAUUGCCUAUAAUCAUUGUAAACUGAAACGCCGCGUCCGCCGCAUGGCCUGCCCACUUCCCGAGAAUACAGGAAGUGGGAGAGGUGGGGUCGCGGGUUUAUAAGGGCCUAAUAGGACCUCCUGUACCGCUUCUCCUGCAAUUGCCGUCAAAUCUUCCGCUCUCAUCUUCUCCAAUCUCCUGCACUUUCCUAGCCCAGCGCGCACUCGCACCUCUAAUGGCGAAGAGCGAUUCCAGGAAGAGGGCCGAACUGAUGGCCAAGGAGUGGAAAAAAUCUCGCAGCACCACAAAGUCUCUUGGUGACCUCGUCGACAUGGGGCUUCUGCACGACGCAGAGCUCGGCGGCUGGAGGGCGCCGGAAGGGGAGAGCUACCCCGACCCUCGCGCCGGUGAGAUCGUCGUUUUUGAAGACUUCAUCAAGAGAGGCUUUGGUGUUCCUGUUCAUCCCUUUCUACAGGGUCUUCUUUUGUACUAUGAGAUCGGGAUUUGCAAUCUGCACCCAAACUCGAUUCUCCUUAUUUCCACCUUCAUCCAUCUGUGCGAGGCCUAUGUUGGCAUAGAGCCGCACUUUGAUCUUUUCCGGUACCUUUUCUGUCUGAGGAAGAAGGGAGCAGUUGGAGGCUCCAAGGUUGCAGGUGGAGUAUACCUCAACCUUCGUGAUGGGAUGAAGAACCGCUACCUACACUGCCCAUGGAACACCUCUUUGACCGAAUGGUACAGGAGGUGGUUCUACGUCAGGGAGGAACCGGGCAGCUCCACGUUCUGCGACGUGGGGUACGUUCCCGAGAAGAGGGCGAGCUGGAGCGACCGCCCGGAGUACGACGGUCAAGUGGCGGAGCUGAUGAAGCUGAUCGACUGGUCGCGCCUGGACGGGUUUAGCGUGGUCGGCAACUUCAUUUGCCGCCGGGUGAUGCCCUGCCAGAAGAGGGUGCACUCGGCGUAUGAAUAUGCCGGAAGCGCAGACCCGACCAGGAUGCGGUCGGAGAUCCUGGAGAAGGCGGAGGUACAACAGCUGCUGAACGAGCUGUUUAACUUUGCCGAUGGGGGCUUCACCCGUAGCAGUGAUCGGGUGCAAGCCUUCAAACUAGGACGACCAGCACCAAAGGUAUGUAGCAUAGCCCGUUUGAUCAUUCUUAUGUCGUCUGCAGUUGGCUCACCUCUGUUGCUUUUGCAGGUCGGUGACGUCGACCGGUGCGUAGUGUACGCAUCACUGGUACCGGGGAUGGAAGAUCCUGUGGGAGAGGUCCCGUCGGAAGAAGACCGAGCCCGCCCCGUCCUGACCUCCGAGGAGAGGGUAGCGGGGAAAAGGCCAUUGCCGGCGAAUCCCUUGCCAACGCCGGAGCUGCCGGCAGACCUACCGGCGGAGAGCAGCCAAGCGCCGAAGCGUCGUCGGCUCGUGCGGAUCGUCGACGACGACGAGGACGACGAGGAGGCUGCGCCGUCGCUGGUCCGACGGCCUCGGGACCGCCCAAACGCUGCGCCGGUCGCCACUGAUCGAGUGGCCAGCGACGCGGCUGCCCCGCAAGUUGCCGAGGUGGGGGCACAGGCGCCGACCGGCCGGGCGAGGAGGAGGUUCACCGCGACCCAUCGGCGGUCAGACCUGUAAGUGUUCAACUUACGUAUUUUGGACUCCUCUCUCUUUUUUUUUCUUUUUUUUUUAACUUUUGUUCCUGUAGUGCGGCAUCGGAUGUCGACCCUGGCCAAACUGCUGGCCAGGGAACGGGCGAGCCUGCCCGCGGUUCUGGGGAUGCGGCCCCCCAGACCACAGAGCAGCCAACAGCUGCAGUCGCGCCUGGGAGCACGGAGGGGCUCCCGAGCGCGGCGCCUACUACAACAAGCAGCCCGACCAGGGCUGGGGAGGCUCCCCCAACUGACUCCUCGGAGAAGGGAAAGUCUCCGACCGCUCCUCCUGCCGGGGGGAGUGAAGUCCCCCUGCCGCCCCGAGCAGGAGCCUCUCCGGCUGCGGGCUCCCCAGGUCUGGUCCAAGGGACGGUGGCGCCUGGGACUACCACCGGGGGUGACGCAGCCCAGGAGGAGGAAACCAGGGCGGCCUCCGACGACGAGGUAGAAGAGAUCGAGGGUCGUCCCCGUGAUGGCCGCCAACACGUGUAUGUGUGGCGCCAACGCGGGGAUCACUUUAUCGGUCAUGAGGAGCUCGCCGAGUCCGAAGAGGCCGCCAGGGUGGAGCGCGCGGCUAAGCGCCUUGUCGACGAGGUCAAGGUAAGCGGCGUUUUGAGCUGCCGCGCGAUCUUUUGCCUUGUCUUCUGCGCAUUCUUAUAUGCUUGCUUUGUAGGACGUUAUGAAAACGGCGAAGUACCGGAAACGGUGCUUUGACCAGAUAGAAGGCGUCAUGGCCGAGAACAAGGCCCUUGCCGCGGAGGUAGACCGGUUGCGGGCGGAGGUCGGAGAGAAGGUGGUCGAGAUGAGCGCCGAAAAGGAGCGUCGUCUCGACCUCUCUCGUCGCCUGGCCGACCAGUACCGGCUGCAGGAAGGUUAGUCACACGCUCCGAGCAGUUUCACAUACUUGUAUAGUUUGCUUUGCUGACCAGUUAAUCGAUUCACGCAGACUUGGAGGAGGAGGUGGCGAGCCUCCAACAAGAGAAGGAGCAGCUCGGCCAACAGCUCGCCAGUGCACAGGAGUCCGGGCGGCGAGCGGAAGAGGAGUUGGGCCGAAAAGACCGGGAGUUAGCUGGUAAUGAGUGCCGCCUUGUUGAUUGCUGCCUGCCCUGUGCUUGUCUGGUAACGUUUCAUUUCGUUUGCAGUGCUCAAGGUGAACACCAAGAAGCACCUGGAUGAGCUGAUCAGGGACCGGGACUCCUGGAAGGCCAACUGUUGCAAGAUCUGGAAGGGAGUGUCCCCGGUCCUGGACCUGAUCAGUCCCGAGCUCCCGGAGAGCCAGCCCCGCGCGCCGCAGUUGACCCCAGUCGGGAAGGCGCAACGGGCGUGGGACUGGCUCCAGCAGUUUGUGAAGGACGCCGGAGAGUUUGCCGGCGCGCACGUCCUCAGCAUGGUGCGCGCCCACUACCCCCUGGUUGACUUGAGCAGGCUGGAGAAGGGGUACCCGAAGGAAGUCGGCCCACAGGAAGCGGACGAACUUCGGGGUAGUCUGCUGGAUUUGUCGUCGACGGUGAUCGGCGACAUCAACCUGUGCGGAACGGCCACUCCUCCAGACCAGCCGAGCUCAGAUAGGUCGGCCAGGGAGUUGUCGGGCGCGUCCGUUGCUGGAGAUGGGCGGUCGACGCCUGCGGUCUCGACCAGCCAGGCGCCGGUGGCCCCGACCCCUUCGUCCGGGCAGCAAGGCCAGGCGGGUGAUCAGCCCGAGCAGCUAGGCCAAUAAAGUAGUCUGUAGGAAUAGACUAGUAUCUGCCCGUCAGGGUGUUUAUUGUAAACUUUGUAUGUAAAGUUUGUAAUAAAGUUUUCUUUUUUGUCAUGACUGUUGUUUUGAGCGCUGUAAGAAUGUCUGAGUGACGUGUCACCGUAUUUGUCUUGGUUGUCGCCAAGAGCAUCCAUUGCAGGAGUUUUGCUGGGUGCUGCGUACGACAAGGUAUAGGCGAGAAAUAUAGAAUCUUAUUAUCAAAAAUUAUAAGAUACUUACAAAAGAAAGCCAUUAAAACGUUAUGGAUAGAAUCGUCGCAGUUUGUCGAUGUGCCAAGAGUUAGGCACUCGUGUUCCGUCUGGGUAUGCCAAUCUGUAGGACGUAGGUCGUGUGACCUUGGUCACCACGAAGGGUCCUUCCCAGGGAGUGGAUAACUUGUGCAUUCCCUCCUGGUUCGUUUUCCAUCGAAGCACCAGAUCGCCGACCACAAAGGAACGGUCCUUGACGUUCCUGUUGUAGUAUCGCCUGACUGCCGCGAGAUAUUUUGCUGUUCGGAGACAUGAAACUAAACGAUUUUCCUCCAUGCAAUUGACUUCGAGUUCCCUGGCGUUGUCGGCAGUCGCCUCGUCGUAGUGCUCGAUUCUAGGAGAUCUGAAGUGUAUGUCGGCCGGCAGGACCGCCUCUGCACCGUAUACCAUGAAGUAGGGAGACACCCCUGUGUUUCGACUGGUCUGGGUUCGGAGGCCCCAGACUACUGCCGGCAAUUCUCUCAUCCAUCGACCGGGUGCUCUGUCGUUUUCGGUGUACAGCCUCUUCUUUAGGGCAUCAACGAUCAUUCCAUUAGCACGUUCGACUUGACCGUUAGCACGUGGGUGUGCUACUGACACAUAUUUUAUGACUAUGCCUCUGUCAUCGCAGAAAUCCCAAAAAGUGGUGCCAGUAAACUGAGUGCCCAGGUCGGUGAUUAUGCUGUUCGGGAUGCCGAAUCUGUGUAUGAUUUGAUUGAGAAACUCCACGGCCUUCUCGGAGGUUGCCUUGACCAAGGGCAUGUAUUCGAUCCACUUGGAGAACUUGUCGAUUAGCACGAAGACAAACUUGAAGUUGCCCGGGGCUGGUUUAAAUGGUCCGAUCAUGUCAAGCCCCCAGCAAGCAAAGGGCCAAGACGACGGGAUAGUCUGAAUUUCAUGGGCGGGUACGUGGGUCCUCUUAGCGAAAAACUGACAUCCUUCGCAAUGCCGAACCAGUUUUUCUGCGUCGCCGACCGCGGUUGGCCAAUAAAAACCUGCUCGGAAAGCCUUUCCGACCAGCGUUCUAGAUGCGGCGUGGUUGCCGCAGGAUCCAGCGUGUAUGUCUUCCAAGAGCUUGAUACCAUCGUCUUGGGGUAUGCACUUGAGCAGUACUUCGGAGCUUGCGUUUUUCCGCAUGAGUUUUCCGUCGACCAGGAUGUAGUUCUUUGACCGUCGGAUGAGGCGCUCGUUCUCUGUUUUGUCCUGAUAGCCUGUUCCGUCUGAUAUGUAUUUGAUGAACGGGGUGCGCCAGUCACGCCCACCGGUUGCCGGAGUGGCGUCAUCUAUGAGCAUUGCCUCGGUGGGUUGCUUGUCGACCAGGGGAGGGCUUACGCUUGGCUCAUGGAUGUCCUGGACAAAAAUACCCCGCGGGAUCUGGGCCCGAGAUGAGCCUAACUUUGACAACGCAUCUGCUGCUUGGUUCUUGUCCCGGACCACGUGGAUGUACUCUAUGCCAUAGAAGUGAGUUUCCCAUUUGCGAAUUUCUUUGCAGUAGAGAUCCAUCUUCUCGUGGGUUGCGUCCCACUCCUUGUUGAGCUGGUUGAUGACCAAGGCAGAGUCGCCGUAGACAUAGAGGCGCUUGACCCCCAGUUCAACGGCUAGUCGUAUGCCGUGUAAGCAUGCUUCGUAUUCGGCGACGUUGUUUGACGCCGGGAAAAGGAUCCUAAGGACGUAGCGGAGUUUGUCCUUGUUGGGUGAUACGAACAGUAUCCCAGCGCCUGCACCGUUGAUGUUCAAGGACCCAUCGAAGAACAUAGACCAGUGGUCUGAGACAUCGGGAACGGAAGGUUCGUUGAGAUCCGUCCAUUCGGCAAUGAAAUCGACCAGGGCUUGGGACUUGACAGUGGUGCGACUCUGGAACUCCAGGGAAAAUGGACAUAACUCCAUUGCCCAUUUCACGAUUCUGCCAUUGGCGUCUUUAUUGCGCAGGAUGUCACCGAGAGGAAAGCUGGUUGUCACCAGGACUCGAUGGCCGUCGAAGUAAUGCUUCAGUUUUCUUGACGUUAUCAGGAUGGCGUAUAUAAGCUUCUGUAUUUGUGGGUACCUGGCCUUGGAUUCGUUUAAAACUUCGCUUAUGAAGUAAACGGGUCUCUGGACCUUGAAGACGUGACCUGGUUCAUCUCGCUCGACCACUAUUGCCGUGGAAACAACCCUGUCGGUUGCAGCAAUGUAAAGGAGCAGGUCUUCAUUAGGCUGAGGCGCUGUGAGGACAGGCGGUGAAGUGAGGAAGAUCUUAAGCUGAGUGAACGCGGCGUUGGCUUCUUCGGUCCAGGAGAAUUUUUCUGACGCUUUCAAUAGUUUGAAGAAAGGGAGGCCUUUUUCUCCCAGCCUUGAAAUGAAACGGCUGAGGGCGGCCAUGCAUCCGGUUAGCUUCUGAAUGUCCUUGACGUUCUUCGGUGGUCGCAUGUCGAGUACGGCUUUGACUUUUGAAGGGUUUGGUCGUAUGCCGUCGCGACUGACGACGUUGCCGAGCAGUAGACCGGAAGGAACGCCGAAAAUGCAUUUCUUGGGGUUGAGCUUCCACUUGUACCUAUUGAGUGCCUUGAAGGUUCGGUCUAAGUUGUCGAUCAGGGUGCUCGCGUCCCUUGUUUUUACGACCACGUCGUCCACGUAGGCCUCGACGAGGUCAUCGCGAAUCUCGUCGUGGAGGCAUUGCUGGAUGGCCCUUUGAUAAGUGGCCCCGGCGUUUUUAAGUCCGAAAGACAUGGUAGUGUAACAAUAUGCGCCGAAGGGUGUGAUGAAGGAUGUUUUGAUCUGAUCUUCUUCCUUUAACGAGAUCUGGUGAUAACCAGAGUAGCAAUCUAGAAAGGAGAGGAGUUCGCAUCCGGCCGUUGAGUCGACCACCUCGUCGAUGCGAGGAAGACCAAAAGGAUCUUUAGGACAGUGCUUGUUGAGAUCGGUGUAAUCAACGCACAUUCUCCAUUCAUUAUUCUUUUUGCGUACAAGAACCGGAUUGGCGAGCCAAUCGGGAUGAUACACCUCUUUUAUGAAUCCGGCUGCUAGAAGCCGUGUUAUCUCUGUCCUAAUAGCCUCCUUUUUGUCACGAGCGAACCGUCGUAGUUUUUGCUUGAUUGGUCUUGCGGUCUUCGAGACGUUUAAGGAGUGCUCGAUCAGGUUUCGUGGGACACCGGGCAUGUCUGCGGGUUUCCAUGCGAAAACGCUCACGUUGUCCUUUAGAAACCUGACGAGCGCGUCUUCCUAUUUUGGAUCCAGGUUAGCCCCGAUGAGGGCUGUCUUCUCGGGGUUACCUUCGACCAGCUGCACUUCUUUGUACUCCUUGGAUUUCGAAUUCUUUCUGGCUGUCUCUUGCUCGGGUAAUCGGAGCUGGUCGGGGGGCAGCUGUGCGGCUUGGGUUGCUGUUUCCGCCAUGCGGAUUGAGAGGUCAAUUGCCUCGGUGAUCUUGAAACUUUCUUCUUCGCAGGUGUACGCAGUAUAGACGUUGCCUCUGACGGUCAGGACGCCCUUCUCCGUGGGCAUCUUAAGCACCAGGUAUGAGUAGUGCGGGACUGCCAUGAACUUUGUCAGUGAUGGGCGGCCCAGUAUGGCGUGGUAGGUCCCGUCGAAGUCCGCGACUACGAAGUUGAUGAACUCCGUCCGGAAGUGAUCGGGUGUGCCGAAUUGGACAGGCAAUGUUAUCUGUCCGAGGGGCACCGAACUUUGACCUGGCAAAACCCCCCAGAAUUGGGCGUCGUAAGGUUUUAGUUGCGCCGGUGAUAUCUUGAGGGCGGGCAGGCUGUUGCGGAAGAGGAUGUCGAUGGAGCUUCCCCCGUCCACGAGCACGCGCUCGAAUCUGAUGCUAUUGAUGCAGGGAUCAAGAAUCAGUGGGAAACGACCCGGCUCUGGGAUAGUGGCCCACUGGUCCUUCCUGCUGAACGCGAUCUCCCUGUGGGACCAGGCGGGAAAUUUCGGAUCUGCGAUCAGCCCGUCCGUGCUGUCUAUGUUGAGGCAGGCUCUCUUUAACAGUUUUCUUUCUCGCUUGGACUCAGUGGAGACCUUGCCCCCGAAAAUGGAGUGAACCACGUCGGUAGGGCUGACAUAUUGGUGUCGGGGGUCCCUGUCUUGGUCCUCAUCCUCAUCUUCGUGGUCGUGCCCGUCGCGUUUGCUGCUUUUCUUGGCGGUGUCUUCUUGGGCGGCCCGCCGUGUAUAGAUACUUUUGAGGACGCGGCACUCUUCCAUGGUAUGGUUAGACUUCGGGUGUAGCUGGCACGGUCCCUUCAACGUUUUGUUGUAGUCGUCUUGGUAGUCCCGUCGUCCAUUGGGACGUUUGACCGUGUUUACUUCGUGGUCGUACUCGCGAGGGCGCUUUCCUCUGAAGUCGUCGCGGCUGUCGCGCCGCCGAUCCCAACCCUCUCGGUGAUCGCGGUUGUCGGAGCGGCGAUGAUUUCUGUUGUCGUAGCGACCACGACCGUCGUCUCGCCGGGAGGGCUGGUCGGUGCCUCUCGCAUCGUCUCGGAUUAGUUUUUCUGCGUCAUCAGCAUCGGCGUAAUUUUUAGCCGUGGCGAGGAGCUCCGCUACCGUUGAUGGGCGCUUACGCAAUAGCUUGUUCCUCAGCGCUUCAUGGAAACGCAAACCCUUGAUAAAGGCUGAUAUGGCCUCGUCAUGAGAAAUCCUCGGGAUUUUGAGACGCAUAUCCGAGAAUCGUCGGAUGUAAUCGCGCAGAGGUUCAUUCUUCCUGUCUCUUAUCCUUUCAAGGUCAUACUUGUUUCCGGGCUGCUCGCAUGUGGCGAUGAAGUUGUCGAUGAAAGCCUGACGCAGCUCCUCCCAAGAGUCGAAGGAGUCCUCGGGCAAGCCGAGAAGCCACUGAUGACCAGCCUGGUCGAGGACUACGGGGAAGUAAUUAGCCAUGACGUGCUCAUCUCCUGCCGCUGAUCGGACGGCGAUUUCGUAGAGAGUGAUCCAGUUCUCUGGAUUUUCCUUGCCGUCGUAUUUUUUAAGUUUUUCGAGCUUGAAAUUGCGGGGCCACACGACUUGGCGGAGGUGUGAAGAGAACUGCCUUAGGCCCGGAGGACCGUGGGUCGCGUCGUACUCGAUGCGGCGCAGGUUCUCAUGGACUGCUCUUUCUGCGGCGCGCCUGUUGAUGCGGUCCCGGGCAUCUUUGGGGGGGAUGUUGUGGCGGAGAUCCCUGUGUUGAUCUUCUUCUUCUUGGCCGCGUACGCGGUCCUGCUGGCGGCGGCCAUCGGCGUCCCGACCACCAUCAUCGCGCCGUGAGUCCCCUCGACGGUUGUCGGGGGAGCGGCUGCGGCGACGCCUGCUGGGUGAGGCCCGGCUACGAUGAGUCUGGUCGGAGGCGGCUUCCGUAUAAGAGGCGUCCUGGACUCUCUUGAGCAGAGCGGCUGUCUGUCCCAUUGCGGCGAUCAGGUGUGCUCGGAUACUGGUCCGGACUCCCUGGCAUUCGGGGGUGUCAGGAAGCCGAUCCAGAUUGGCCAUGGCGACAGCCACGUUGGCGCUUGGCGUUUUGUAGACCGGCUGGUCCCCGACCAUGUCGAAGGCAUCGUUGAGGUUGCCUGGCGGCGUCUGUUGUUGCUCGUCUGCACGCCGUCGGGCGCGCUCGGCGUUACGCUGUUCACGGAGUUGCCUCUGGUCGUCUGUUUCUCCGUCAACGGCUGGUUCGUCGGCGCUGACAUUGAAUACAAUAUCCCCUCGCCGGGGGGGGAAUAUCGGGAAUCGGUCGAAACCCGGAGGGUGUGAAGGAAAAUCCAGGUCAUAGUCCUCGUCUUCGGUGUUCACAACCUCGGUGGGGACGGAGCCGGUGCUUGAGUUGGUGCUGGAAACCUGGCCGUCCCGUAGCUCUCGGAUGGUCACCAUGUUGACAUGGUGGCGAUUGUUCCUUGUCGGCGACCAGCCCGCUUUGCUGAAAACGGAUUGGACAUGCCGUGAAUAAACAGAGGCCGAGUUGUUCAGGCCGCAAGGAUAGUCUUCCUUUUUGAGCUCGACGGAUCGUCCUGAGGGGGUUGAGGUUAUCGUCAGGGAUGUUCCCAGCCGUUCGUGUGUGGUGACACGAGUUGGCCGGCGGAAUUUCGAAGAAUCCGCUCGAGCGGCUUGGUCGGGCCGGCGCAGAACUCCAUCUAUUAGUUGGGAGACUUCGAAUAGCUUGGAGUCAGCGCGAUCGAGCGCUUGGAGGAGGUCCGAGCAGUCGAUCUCCCUUCCCUUGUAGAGCGGGAGCGGUGGUCGGGAGCUUGGUGUCGUCACGCGCGUGGUCGGAGACGACGUGGUCUCAGAUUGGAUCUGGAUCUCUUUCGGAACCGUGGUCGCGAAACCGCCGCUGCGCGUCGUCCACGUGAUUUGGCCGACGGUGAACGUGAGGCCUUCGGGCACGGUCGCGGAAGCUGGGAUCGUGACCAUCUUGUUCGCCGGAAAAGUUGCACGCACACCCCCUACCUGGCGCGCCACUGUCGACGAAAGCUGGUCGGCAGUCUACCUUGGGGUAUACCCACGGUAGUAGUUUAUCGGUAGACGGUGCGCAAACUACGAACUCGAUGGUGACGCAGGACACGGACAAGCUUUUUAUCCAGGUUCGGCCGCCGAGUUGGCGUAAUACCUACGUCCUGCGUCGGGUUGUAUUGGAUUGUGUUGAGAGAUUAUGAUGUGUCCUAGGGGGGUCCCUUGCCCCUCCUUAUAUAGUCCGGAGGGCAGGGUUACAGAUCUGGAAACUAAUCCUAGUCGGUUACAAUUGCCAUGGAUAAUUCGAUAUCAAUUCCUAUUCUAACCGACUAGAAUCCUGCUUGAUCUCCACAUCUUGUUUCCUUGCGCGAAACUCCAGGUUGUCGGAUCAAGCCUUGAACUCGUCUCGUAAUGGGCCAAGCCUCCUGGCCCAAGUCUAGCCAUAAGGGUAUAGGGGUUUGUACCCCCACACACUGCCAAUUUUGUUUAGGUAUGAGGAGUUCUACGAGAGGGAAUUCUGUUUAGGUUGGGUUUGAGUUAAGAGUUGAGUACGAUAUUUGCCCCUAAAUUUCCCCAAUCAUCAUGUAUUAUUGCUCUGAGAGUUAUUGGUCAACAUACUUAUUGUAUCUCAGGAAUGCGAUAAUAUAUUGGUUAAUGGAACCUGUACCCUUUGAAUUUUAAGGUGAAGAAGGGCUUUAGCAGUAAUUCUGGUUCAGUAAUGGAGGAAAUACAUUCCCUGUCAAGAUUGUUUUGAUAUUUGAAAAGAUUUGUUUUGAUAUUCUCAAGAUUGUUUUUUGAUAUGGUCAAGAUUAUUUUGCCGCUAUCAAAAGCAUGGAUGAUGUUUUUUUCUGACCUGAAACAAUUAUAUUACGUUGUAUAUUUUAGUUGUAAUUUACAUAUACCAGAAUGUUGCCGUAGCGUUAGCACGUGCAGUGUACUAGUAGAAGAAAGUUAAAAAGAAAAUCAUACAAAAAAGAGACAUUUUUUUCUUCUGAGGGCCGUAAAUCUCUCUUAUAUUAUCGUUGGUCGUUUAAAUGGGCUAGCCAAAGACCAAUAACGAAUCCCAUCAGAGCUGGUCCGAGCUGAAAUCAAAAAAGAAAAAAAAAACGAAAAGAAGAACAUAAGUCGAUCCUGAAUCCAGGCCCAAACUUUUUCGCAUAAAAGGUUGGCGGAUCCGCUCCGCGCCACUCAUCGGACAUCGGAGAGAUGCGCGCGGGCGGCGGCGCGCGCCCCAGACACGCACCCCUCUCCCCGACCGCCUCCGCCACUGCCACGCUGCUAGUACCCGCCUCCGUCGCCAUGCCCGCGCCGCGCCUCGCGCACCUCCGCCACCUCCUCCUCUCACAACGCUCCGCCCCGGCCCGCUCGCUGGCCCCCAACCUAGGCCACCCGCUCCCCGGGCCGCUUCACCCGUCCCUUCUCCUCGCCCGUGCCAUGGCUGGCGUCGCGCACGCAGGUGAGCGGCGACGAGCCAGCUGAGACCGUACCGUUUAGUCUCCGUUGGCUUUCUGGUUGGUGAAUCGGUGGUGCGUGUGGAGCGCAGGUCUGGCGACGGGGUCGACGGAAUACGAGGAGGUGCUCGGGUGCCUCUCGUCGCUGAUAACGCAGAAGGUGCGCGCGGACACCGGCAACCGCGGCAACCAGUGGGAGCUCAUGGCCAAGUACGUGCAGGUGGGUGACGCCGGGGUGUUUCCGUUUGGUUCGUGUGUGUCUGCUGCUGCUGUUUCUGAUUGAGGUGUGGUUCUGUUGUCAGAUACUUGAACUGGAGGAGUCCAUCGCACAGUUGAAAGUGGUUCACGUUGCUGGGACCAAAGGAAAGGUAAUUGCUGCUUGUGUUGUUGCACUGUGGGGUUAGCCUUUUCUUAUUUCUUAUAGUUCUAAACUGCUUCAGAUGGAUUUAGCUAUGCGGUUUCAGUAACACACUUAUUGGUGAUUUUUAGAAUUUACACUUAUUGGUGAUCUUGCACAAUCACGAUUCAUGACGGUAGUUGUUAUGGAGUUAUAACAAUAUCUCAGUUAUCAGUGCUAGAUCCAAUUUGUUUUUUUUUUCUCUAGAACACACAGAGCUGUGUAUCUUUGUAUUAAGAAGAAAGGGGUCCAGAUUUACAAUCCACAUCCAUACACCCUGUGUAUCCAAUUUGUUUCUGUCUGGCCUGUGUUUCCCGAUGGAACAUUGGAGUUUUCUGUCUUGGUACUAAAAAAAGGAGACCACACAAGAUUAAUCAUGUGUCUUUAAUUUCUGGGAGACCGGGGUAUUUGAAAUCAUAAUCGCAACCAGCAACAUCUUUGUUGUAGAACGGUUUACUUUGGAAACCUGCAUAUCUGUGGAGUUUCUCUUUCCUGAGAAAUGGAUUGGACUGCAAGCUUUGUUUGCCAGGCCAAUGUAAAUGAACUGAAGCUCUUUUUAGAUUGUUCUAGCACUCAAUAUACUGUGGAAACUCUAUGCCAGUCUCUUAAAAGAAAAUGUUUAAUGGAUGCAUCUUGAAAUCUCUAUAUCUUUUCUAUCCUUUAGGGUUCAACAUGCACAUUUGCUGAGUCAAUCCUUCGAUCAUGUGGCUUCCGCACUGGGCUCUUCACUUCACCGCAUUUGAUGGAUGUCCGCGAGCGAUUUCGGCUUGAUGGGUACUUACCGCCUUUCAACCUUUAUUUUGUUUAUCAGUUCGGUAUGUUUAGCUUGUUCUGAAGGCACUUAUUGACUUAUAGUUUAGUUGCUUCAAUUUAUUUAAUUCUUUCUAUCAUUAUGUGCCUUGACACUCAUUGAAUAUCCUAUGUUCUGAUGAGUCUAUAGGCUGGACAUUUCGGAAGAAAAGUUUAUUAGGUAUUUCUGGUGGUGCUGGAACAAAUUGAAGGUAACUAUCCACCUGAUUUUCUUUAAAAUAUAAAAGGAACAACAGUGGAUCUGUGACAUUUUACUCAGAGUUUAUGGGCUCCUUGGAAACAAUCAUUGACACUGUUGAAAUAUUUGUUGUACCAUCCAGGACAGGAUUGGUGAUGAUGUACCAAUGCCAGCCUACUUCAGGUUCCUUGCACUGCUAGCAUUCAAGAUCUUUUCAGAUGAGCAGGUUUAUACUUUGCAAAACACUUUCUAGUCCACAACUUUUUUAUCAUGUAGUGGGUGUAGGAAGCGUAUACCAGCUUCCUUUUUAAUGGAUUUUUUCCCAGCCUGAGGGAAUUCGUGGAUGUUGCCUCAUUUUGUGUGAAGAUAAAUAUGAAAUAAAUUGGUUGAAAAGCACAUUUUAUGUCAUAGUGCAAUCUAAAAGAUUGCUUCCUCCAUAAUACCUGUCAUCAUCUCCACUCAAACUGCCUGCUGCUAAUGCUCCUGACAGAUAUGAUACAUUAUUAAUAAUCUGCACUACAAAGUCCUUAAUUAUCUAAUAAGUUUAUUUAAGAAGCAUUACCAUUUUAGGUACAUGAAGCUGUCAUAUGCUGCUCAAAUUUUUUAUGCUUUCCUAGCAGCAUGCUCAAAAAAAAAAAUCCUUGUUUUGUCCUGUUUAAGCAGGUGGAUGUUGCGGUGCUCGAGGUUGGUUUGGGAGGGAAGUAUGAUGCAACGAAUGUGGUGUGUAGCAUGCUUAUUAUUAUUUUCUAUUAAAAACAAUACACGGUAAUAGAAAAUGUUCAUGAUUCAUACUAUAUAGUAUAUAAUCACCAUUCACCAAACAAAAAGGAAGCUUGUUGACUAGCAAGAUUUAUGUUGAUAUACAAUCUUGACUUUCUGAUUGAAAUGCUGAACCUUGCAACUAUAUUUUGUAUUCAAAAAGUUUGGACUGAGAUCUCUGUGCAAGCUUAAUAAUCAGUGAUGCUGUAGUUGGCUCAUAUAGCCAUCUAGGUUCAGUUGCACUGUGCAUAGUCUGUUUGAAAUUCACACUUAGCGCAUGUGAAAAUCAUUGACAAUAGCUUAACAAAUGCUGAGGAGCAUAGCUGAUUUGUAAACACUUGCAGGUCAGAGCACCUGUAGUUUGUGGAGUAUCAUCUCUUGGGUAUGAUCAUAUGGAAAUUCUUGGUUAGUUAUGAAAUUGAAAGAUGAAAUAGCAUCCUUAUUCCUUAGUAGAUUUGUUUCACACAGCCAAUGCUUGUUCUUCCCAAUGACCAGGAAGCACACUUGGAGAAAUUGCUGGAGAGAAGGCUGGGAUACUUAAGGUUUUUUGCUAGCUUUGCCUGGAUAUUAAUCAGCUGACCUACUGUAGCUAAAACUGAUUUCUUUCAUAUAUGGCAUUUUUCUUUAAUACAGAAAGGAGUUUCGGCGUAUACAGUUCCACAGCCAGAAGAGGCAAUGUCUGUACUGGUGCAGCGAGCUUCUGAGUUGGGUGUAUGUUACAUUUGAUGUCGUAGUCCUUUUUAGUUGUCACCACGUCUUGCAUGUUAUGGACUGGGGCAUUGGCCUGGAGCCAUGGUUUCAGUAGUUCAACAAGCAAUAGCUGCUCCUCAGCGCAACAAACUAGCUAUGUGGCUGGCAACAGUGUGAAGGUUAAAUUAGUACGCAUUGGUUUGUUAGAUAAGAUCCUUGAGUUGAAUCUGUUAGCUAUGCUUGUUAGGACUUAGGAGCCAUCCUAUAAAAGUAAGGCAAUACGGCAAGCUCUAAGGAUAAGCAAGAAGAACCCUAGAAAGCAGUCAGAGCCUCUAGAGGAAGGGCGAUUAGCUGGUUCUUCCUGCUAUCCCAGAUCCUCCAGUGGGAGGUGAAGACUUUGAUGAAGCAGUUGGAAGAACUGCGACACAAAUAGUAGCAAUGCAAAGAUUCAGUUGGAGAAGUGGUCCAUGGCUCCAUACCACUGUGAGUGCAGUCAAUGCAACAGCCUAAGGCAGACAAAGUCAGUGGCAAUACUGGUGGUGAAGAUGACACUGAUGCCACCAUUGAAGGAGGCAUGGGUGCAGCAAGCGAGGUUGUUGGCGAGUCACAAAGGAAGACCUUUCUCAGUGGUUAGUGAGGGUUCUUCCUAUUAUUCCAUCUAUCCCUAGAUCUUGAUGUAUGCCUUUCUUUUAUAGGCCGGCUCCUAAUAAACAUAGCUAACAAAUACAACUAAAUGACCUUAACUACAAGCUGAUCAAUACUAAUCUAAUCUUCACAUGUUUCCUUGGCAGACCACACGGCUAUUUUGUUGUGUUGAUAUGCAGCUGUUACUUGCCCUUGAACUGCUGAACCCAUGGCUCCAGGCCAAUGCCUAGUCCAUAACGCUGCCUUUAUUAAUUUGUCCAUUAACAUGACUAUAAUUACGAUCAGCUUUUGAUAUAAUCAACUGAAAUUCUCUAAAGGUUUCUCUUCAAGUAGUCCAGCCUUUGGACCCACAGAAAUUAGAGGAUCAACCCCUUGGACUCCAUGGUGAACACCAAUACAUGAAUGCAGGUCUUGCAGUUGCAUUGGCUAAUACCUGGCUUGAGAGGGAAGGCCAUUUGAACAGAAUACAUGUCAAACAUUCUGUAAGUACUCCAAAUAUGUAUGUAUUUAUCUCCCUGCAAGAUAUAUUAGCGGCAGUUGUCAUUCUACCACUGAAUGCAGGGUACCUUGCCAGAUCAGUUCAUCAAAGGGCUGUCAAGUGCUUGUCUGCAAGGUCGAGCACAGAUUGUUCCAGAUCCACAAGUGAACUCAGAAAACAAUAAGGAUCGUGAUUCUUCACUGGUUUUCUAUUUGGAUGGGGCACAUAGCCCAGAAAGCAUGGAAAUGUGUGCAAGAUGGUUUGCCCACAUUACAAAUAAUGAUGGAACGCAGACAUGUUCUUUGGAGCAGCCUCAUACUGACAGGGAUUCUAGGAAGGUAUGCAUUACAGUGGCAGUUUUCGUGUUGAAUCACAUCUCUCUCUCUCUCCGCACACACAUACCAUUUUUCUUCACUUAUUAUAUACUAGGUCCCUCAACUAUUACUCGAGGGAAUUUUGUCCCUAAAUUUUUAAAACGGCCAUUUUGGUCCUCAAACUUUAGUUUUAGGCUUAGUUUUAUCCUACAACUAUGAAGAUGAUCGUUUCAGUCCUUAAAUUUUGUAUUUUGGGCUCAAUUUCAUCAAUAAACUAUCAAAGUGCAUUUAACUUUUUAUUUUCAACUCAAUUUUGUUUAUUCAAAAAUAAAACAUUAUAUUUUAAGCAUAAUUUCAUCCAUAGAUUAUCAAAAUAAUUGAUCUGCUAUUGUUUCAAUAUAUCCAUGUAUUCUUGAAGAGUAAAUAGUGUUCGAUGUAACUAUAAUUGCUCCCACAAAUAUCAAUUUAGUUGGAUAUAUAAAAAUGGUACAAUUAUAAGGUAACACUAGAAAUAACAGCUUGGAAUUAUCAAUGGCCGUGAAAGAGUUUUUGGAUAAAUAAUAUUUUUCUAUCUUCAAUUGCUGGUGGUGUUGGAGCUAAUGAUGUGCAAUAGUGCAGCGUUCCACGUACAACGUAGACGAAGUUGAGUUAAAAAAUAAAAGUUUAAAGAACAAAAUACACUUUAAUAGUUUUAAAAUGAAAUUGAGCUCAGAAUACAAAGUUUGAGGACUAAAACGACCUUCUUCAUAGUUCUAGGAUGAAAUUGAACCGAAAAGUAUACUUUGAGGACUAAAACAGUCGUUUUGAAAGUUCGAGGACGAAAUUGAGUCUGGAGUAAUAGUUGAGGGACCAAAAUGACUAUUCUGCCUAUAUAUUAUUAAGCAUCCUCUUUUGGAAUUUUUUGAUAUGUGCAGUUUCUCCUUUUCAAUUGCAUGACUGUAAGAGAUCCUCAGAGAUUGCUCCCACAUCUUCUGGAUACAUGUGCUCAAAAUGGUACAUCAAUCAAAUUAUUUAUUUCUUUUUGAAGAUCUUGAACCAUAUAAUAUUUCAUUCUGUAGUUACUCGCAUGUAAUGAUGUCUGGAGAAAAUACAAGAUUCUCCUAUAACCAAUGCUGAUAUGCAUAUCAUGUAGAAAAUGUCCUUUGUUCCAAUGAGUGUCUAGUUAACCAGCUGAUUAAGUAUUGUAUGAACUAGCUGCCAUACUCUGUAUUUGCUUGCUCUUUCAAGAGCAGUGUACUUGUAUCAUGAGUUGCAUGAAUGCUGCUGUUGGUCUUAUAAUAUUAGUAACCAUUUUUCUCAGGGCUCCACUUUGAGCAGGCCUUAUUUGUGCCAAACCAAUCACAGUACAACAAGCUUGGUUCCCUUGCAUCCCCACCUUCAGAGCGUGAACAAAUUGAUUUGUCAUGGCAGUUGUCACUCCAAAAGGUGUGGGAAAACCUGCCUAAUGGCAAUAAAGGUUGUUCCAAACUUCAUUUUGAAAUUGUGUUUAGUUGUCAGCAUGUGUUUUCUUAUUGAAACAUUGAGUUGAAGAUGAUAUAUGGACUUUUUUUUGGGAUGCUGCAGGUCUAAAUGAUGCAAACUCUGGCAGAACUAGCUCAGUUUUUGAAUCUCUUCCGUUGGCAAUUAAAUGGCUAAGGGAAACUGCUCAACAAAACCAAUCGAUUCGAUUUCAGGUGAAAGCAUAUGCUACAAUUUCUAUAAUGUUCUCUCAAAUGUUCCACAGCACUUAGACAUUCGGUCCAUGAUUCGCUCAGUACCAGGUUUAGCUAUUUCAUGGACUUGCAGAAUUGAGUGCCAGUGUAUCACAUUUUCUGCAAUAACCGUCACUGAUUUAUGUACUUCUUCAUUAAUAUUGUCAUGUAAUCUGAUUGCUUGUGUACGACUCUGCAUACAUAUUUAUGUUUUCUUGCUUUUCUUUUGUUGUGUUUUCCAUUACUUUGAAUAUCUAACAUCUUUGUCAAAUUUGUUUUUGGUUUUAUGUUCCUUCUGUUCUACUAUUCCAUGGUAUAGCUAUUUUCUAUUUUACAUGUUUCUAGCAACUGCUUUCCUACUUACUGAUACAUUUGCAUUUCCACGCUGAGCCAGGUCUUAGUUGCUGGCUCCCUGCACCUUGUUGGCGAUGUCAUAAGAUUGCUCAAGAAGUAACUUCAUUUGGAAUGGCACAUUGUUCAGACUAAAAUGGCUGCGUACGGACCACUAUGGCACUAACUUGAGCUUAUCGAUAUUUGUGAGUGGGAUAACACAAUAUACCAACUUGGUUAGAAGACUGGAAGAAAUUCAAAGGCAUUUUGGCUUCAGUUCUGAUCAACUGUAAAAUUGUUGCAUUUCAUCGUUUCUUUAAGUUCCUUGCUCCCUGCCUUUUUUUUGGCAUUAUGUGCCACUACAUCCUUAGUCCAGAAGAAUGUAACCAAAUUUUAGAACGUACAAACAGUGAAUUAUAUUAUACCAAUCAUAUCAUUUAUUUUGUACUCCUCUGAAAAAUCAGUAUAUAUAAAUCAUGUAUUCUAUAAAUGUUUGUUGUGGUAAUUGCAGAUGUAUGUUUCGAUCGCAUUCCCCAUUGGUGAGUAGCUGUCGACAUCAGUGGUUGUCCUGAAUUUCCCAGAGUACUUUGCAUAGAAGCAGAACUGAAACUGACAUGGUACACCCUCUUUGCUCUUUUGCAGGAUGAAUUCUUGGGAGUGAAACCAGAUUAAAACAAAAAAAGAGCCCUGAACUAGAGAACACCCCCCCCCCCCCCCCCCCCCCCGGCGCCCCCCUCUUUCCUCCAGUUAAUUGGUAGAGAGAAUUCUAUUCCUGUCAUUCAACGAGCUAGUUUCUGUUCUUGUUCUUGAUGUUCGAUAUAAGCUUAUUUGUCAUUCUGUCCUGAAAUACAAUUCAUUUUCAUGGCCGUACUCUUCUCAAACAGGCUAAUUGCACUUUCUUUACAAUUAGCUAUUGUAUGAUGAUGAAAAUAUACUUUUUUAAUCGCCUGUGUUUCUGGUGCAGAUGACAUUACCUGUCAUUGCCUGUCACUGGCUAACAAGCGACAGAUGACACUGGGUCUUAAUUUUCCAUUUCUUCUGAAGAUGUCUCGACUAUUUGUGACCAUUACCCAUCAUUGGACACUAAGUACGGCCCAUCACUUUGUGUAGGACAAAAGGCAAAAACUAAAGCCAUGCUAGGAGAAGUGCCCGAAGCUAGCGUUACCGCGUGUCACUUCUAUUCUAGUAUUCUUAUACGCCUCUGACCUUUUCAUUUGACUCAACCUCUUCAAUUUAUUCCUAUCUUUUCUCAUGCAAAAGGAUUCAGGCACUGUUGUAUACCCCGAAGCCUUCUGUCACUCCUUGUGCCCACCCUCUCAUUGGCUUUCUUCUGAAUCUAUUAGAGGUUGCAGAUUGAGAGCCAAAACCAAGUUAUCUUGAUACCACUAGCUAGAAUGGUUGACCCAGUCAACACUUGUUAGCCAACUAAGCAAUUCUCGUGAAUCUAUUAGGUUGCAGGUUAGGAGUUGUUCUGUUGUAGCAGUGCAGCUAUCCGGCUACCACCAGUACUAGUACUCGGGAGAGCAGUAGAGGCAAAAAGGAGAUUAGAGCUUGAACAUGCUACAGAUGAAGAGUUGUCUGUAUUCUUAAAAUGUGACACGGUUACAGAGAGGAACUAGUUGCUUGUACAAGAAUCAACAAGUUUAGUAGAACAACAAUUUUUCACUUAAUCAGAGGACAAGUUUGUCCAGGUAUUCAGUUAUGAAGUAAAAGAAUAGAUAAGCAUUUUGCUCAUAGCAUUUAGUCAGAACAGAAAACUGGCAGUCCUUUAGUGGUAUAUUCUGAGACAUUAUCACAGCAACAGCUUGUUCUUGACUUCCCCAGAGGUUCCUUCCUGAUUCUCGGAAGUUUGGCAAUAUAUCAGCACCUUACAUUGCUGUAGCAUCUUAUGAUAUCAUCUAUCUUAUCUUCCAUUUUAGUUGUUGCAAUGCAAUCAUAUCGCUACUUUUAGUCUUACACUUUGGUUGUUGCAAUCCUAUCUCAACUUUUCAGUUGUAACGCAAAGCACCUGGUCUUAUACGAGAGAGAGAGAGAGAGAGAGAGAGAGAGAGAGAGAGAGAGACUGCCGGUGUACCUGAAUUCGAUCGCGCGGAGGAUUGUUUGGUCAGUCUGGCCGCCCGACGCCGGCCAGUUAUAGCUCGGUGCCGGUAAUGCUCGUCGUUUUUGGCAGAGCUUGUGUGGUGGUCCGCAGUGGCGGAGCCAAGGGGGGCUAGCAGAGGCCAUGCCCCCCCUAACAUGUAUCAACAAAUAUUUUUAUUAGUAUAAAUUUAUAAUUUUUAUUUAUAUUAAGAGAAAAAUAUAACAAUUUUUGUUAUAUAUACUUAUAAGUAUCCUCUAGAUAGUAAAAUCAUACUCCAUUCAUUCUAAAUUAUAAGUCAUUUUAUGAAUUUUAGAGAGUCAAAGCAUCCUAAAUUUGACCAAUUUUAUAUAAUAAGAUAGUAAUAUUUAUGAUAUCAACUAACUACUACUAGGUUCUUCAUUAAUUAUAUUUUCACAAUAUACCUAUUUGAUGACAUAAAUCUUUGUAAUUCUUUCUAUUUUGAUUCUCCAAAAUUCUUAGAAUAAUUUAUAAUUUGGGAGGGAGGGAAUACAAAACAUAAAGAAGCACCUUAGAAAAAUAGAGACACGUCUAUCAUGCUGGUUUACAAAAUCAUCUCAAACAUCUUUCUGUUAAAGAUGUGUCGUUUAACAUCGGAAGAAUAACACAUUUGAUCCUAAAAUACAUAUAGAAAAUGUGAGCACCUACGUCAAGUCGAUAAAUCAAGCUAGGCAGUCGUCGAUUAUCCUUAGUUUUGACAAGUUAGAUUUUUUUGGUUGACCCGCCACUGGUGGUCCGAUUGGCUACUUAAGUUAACAACGAUAGAUCGUCAUUGUUACCGUGCAUUAUUGACUAGCUAGUUUGAAACGGUAUAAAAAUCCAGUAGGAGCCGAUUGGCUACUUAAGUUAACAACGAUAGAUCGUCAUUGUUACCGUGCAUUAUUGACUAGCUAGUUUGAAACGGUAUAAAAAUCCAGUACUCCUACUGUCCCAACUCUUAGAAUUCGUGUCAAUCAUUUUUUAAGUUUAACUAAUUUUAGAAAAAAUAACAUUAAAAUCUAUGACAUAAAAUGAGUAAAUUAUGAAAAUAUAUUCUAUGAUAAGUCUAAUGGUAUUAAUUUAGUAUUACAAAUCUUAGCGUUUUUUUUUUAGAAAUUUAGUCAAAAUUUUAAAAGUUUGACUUAAGAUAAGUCUACAAAUUAAAGUUUUCAUUACCGAUGGAGUAUAUACGUUUGCGUUCGUCGUAGGACCAGCAACAUAUUAAAACUCCAGUUACUUUAUUAUACUCCUAUCACUACAACACGUCCUAUUAUAAGAGGCAUUUUAUCAAAGACAUUUUUUCUAAAGUGUCUUAAUUUAUUGUUGUAUAAAGACAUUUCUCUUAAAAGGCCCUUAAAAGUAUAUUUUUAAAGGCAAACUAAAAAACACCUUAAAUAACUACAAUCUUUAGAGGCAUCUUAUAAAAAAUGCCUUAGUUACUUACAACUUUUUGAGGCGUUUUUGUACAGAACGCCUUUGAUGUAUGUGCAUAUAGCUCUGUUUGAAAAUGACAACUCCUACUAGUCCAUUACGUAAUGUUGUACGUGCGCAUACAACCACGUAUAUUCAGUUUUUUUUAAAUUUCGAGAAAACAAAUGCUGGAGACCCCUGCGUCAAUCCCUCUCGGCUGUGGCCCAGCUCCAGCUCGUGAAAUGAAGGACGACCCGUAUCCUCCCCGUAGCAAAAAAAGCUUCGCUCCAUUAUCCUCCCCCUUCACCCGUUGCGAUAGGGUUUCGCGACGCGGCUGCGUCCGGCGUCGCCGUGAGGAUGGCGCGGCUGCAUCGGGCGGCACGGGAAGGGAUGGCGCGACAGCGACGAGGAGGUAGCACAGCUACCUUGGGCGGCACGGGGAGGGACGGCGCGGGUGCUAGGAGGCAGGGCGGUGAGAUUGUUGGGUUCGCGAGCUCGCGGACGAUGACGUCCUCCACAACAUCCCGGCCUGAGGCGGCCACGAGUGCUCGCGAGCUCGCCGACAACGAGGUUCUCCACUACACCAUCCCAUCAGUACCAAUGUACCACCACCGCGCCUCCGUUAUCAAUCGCCACCACCGCCCUUCGCCGAGGUUACCGUGCCUUUACUGCUAUGACUACUAAGGCUCCUCAUUCCCCUGGCUCAUGCGCAGGUCAGGAACUACAUCAAGUUUCGUUCUGCACUUAAUUUGUUUCACUUUGUUGAAUCUAUGAAUGCUAGUGUCUCAUGCUCAACACCUGUUUGUGAAAAUGCUUAUAGAAAGUGUCACACUAGAUUAUCUCCAAUAUCUCCAGUGAUUAGAUAGUGUGCAUUGUAAUAUCCAAAUAUGAAUCGAAGCUAUAGUGUCCUGAUGUUUGCUAAUAGGUUUCGUAGAUAUCUGGUACUAUAAAUGCCUGAUUUUUGCUAAUAGGCCAUCGGCCAUGGAAUAGUCCUUGGUUAGAUAUCUAGUAACUACACUCUGAAAGGAAACCAAUGCAGUAGAAAAGGAAGGGGAUAGCUACACUCUGAAAGUAGAAAAUGAUCGAGCACUAGUCCAUCCUUAGAAUCAAAUAAACACUUGCUUGUAGCACACUCUCCUGGUCUUGGUGAUGGGCUCAUCUCCCUCCCUCGCUCGCUCAUGACUGCCUACAUAGCAUCCCUCCCCUAAAUUCAGUAACCUCAGAGAUGUUUGUCUCUACAACAUUUUCGUUGAGUGUGACCUCAAUUGGAUUGACUAUAUAUGUUUGUCCUUGAAGCUGAGUGUCUCUACAAUAUUUUCAUUACAUUAUUUGAUUACUAUAGGAGUAGUAUAGUAUUAUAUAUAUAUUAUUGUACACGUACUAGUACUAGCUAUCUUCCUAUAUAUGGAUGGGUGCUGGGUUAGUGCUUCUGAUGCCUUACUUAAUUUGCUCAGAUUAGUGAUAAAGAUGCCAUGACCUCAAUUGGUGAUGAUGGCGUGGUAGACAUUGAUUCCUCUAUUUCAUUAGAAACAACAUGUUAUGCAAUGAAAGAACUUGUUUCCAUGGGACUGGUGCGCAGCAUUGGAAUCAGGUAAACCAAACCAACAAUUUUCUCUGUUUCGUUAGCACCAGUUUGACAUUUGAAAUAUUUAGUAUUGGGAAGCUUCCCUUUGUAUUAUGAUUCAUUGCAUUGGCAACAUUUCCUUUUGUACUUGGAGGUGCUCAAAGCGUAGUGUAGUUCCGAAAUAUCCUGAAUUGGAGUAUAAUAAGUCUUACACUAAAAUUUUUUUGCUGCAACUUUUUCCAUACUUGGCGAUUUACUUUUCAUGCUGGUGAAGUCACUUUUCUACAACAAUAAUAAUACUAUCAACCAUCACAGCGCAUACCUCUGGAUGGCUCUACUGCCAAAACUGAACAAAAAUAUGUGUCUCUGCAGCUAACAGAAAUGCUAACAGAUGAAGGAAACUCACGCACUCAUAGCUGCGCAUCAGUCAUUAAGGUGGUUGUUAUUUCAAAUUUCCAUUACAACCCUCUAGACUGUCAACCAUCAUUUUGUUUAACAAAUAGUAGUACAUUUUGUUUGGAUACUUUGAAUAUCAUCAGUUUUGGUGCCAAUGUGAUCAGCUAAUUUGGCAUUGUGGCAGCAAUACAAUUUGCAGAGCUUGGCUGAGAAGCACGGCAAGAUGUUGGCGCAGCUUGUCCUUCGGUGGGGUUUGUAGCAUAAUAUGGUGGUAAUCCCCAUGACCUCCAAGGCACAGUAAUACAUUAGCACACCACUUAACCUUCACUCAUUCGGACAUGUUUAGUUUCAAGUGGGAGCAAUUGCCAAAUGAGGACAGGAGCUUGCAUAUGUAUGUAAUUGUGAUGUGAACAUGUCUGGCUUUUAAUCUCUCUUAAAGGGAGCAUUGUAAUCUGGUUAGAAAUAUAACUAUAGGCUUGUUUGGCACAGCUCAACUUCACUAGUAAAGCUGUUUUUUUUUAGAAAAUAGCUUCAUGAGUGACUUUUUAGAUAAAGCUGAGCUAUUUUGUAAAAAGUGUUUGGCAAAAUAGCUUCACGAACUACUUCAUACAUAGCUGAGAGAGAGAAAUGAGAGAGAGGGAGCUGCAAUAAGCUACUUUUUCCAGCUUCAUCCCAACUUAUGUCUUUGUGAGAGGAGGGGGAAAAAUAACUUCACCUAUGAAGCUGUUUUGGAAAUAAAUGUUUGGCAAAUAAAACAGCUCACAACAGCUUCAAACAGGCCCUGUAUGUCUGCAAGAUUAAAAUAUUUGGAGUAUAUAGUGUUAAGUGUGCUCUUAUUAGUUCAUUCUCCAAUGGAUCGAUUCUAUAUUGCUAGCAGUUCCAUAUGAAUAGCUUGAUUUUAGAGGUAUUUCUAAUAAUGCCUCCAUUAAUGUUUGAAGGCGUUGAACAGAACGCCUCUAAAUAGUAUUUUAGGCAGUCAGAAAAUACCUUUAAAUAUUGAUAUUAAAAGGGUUUGAAAAAAUGUCUUAAAAGACCUUUUACUUCCCUGUUUUAGAUGACAUUUUAAUAAAUGCCUUAAAAGGUCUUUGAUUGCGUUUUGACCUCUUUUGAAGGCAUUUGUAAAUGCCUCCUAUAAUGGGACGUGCUGUAGUGUAUAUAUAGGCUACAAUAGAGGUCUGGCCGUAUGCCCGUAUAUUACUGUAGUACGCAGUGGCAGUGUGGAGGAGUCUAGCCUAGAGUAUUGGACAGUGAAAGAUAUAGACGGUGGAGGGCUCAUAUGCAAAUAUCACAGAAAAUUCUAUAAAAUAGAAUUUAUGAGCCUACGACAUUACACUCUUCGGUAUUAAUUUCAUAAACUUUAUUUUUAAAUUAAAUAUUUAAUUAACAUUGGUAUUUAAUUUUUAAAAUAUUGUUAUCUUAUUGUGUGAUCUAUGUGUUUUUAGUAUAAAAUGUUGUUAUCCCGUGGCAACAUACGGGCAUACUAUCAGUAUUUAAAAAAUUACAUGUGUGCACGUUGUAUGCCACGAAAGAGGGAAAAUAUAUUUAAGAACUGCACAAAACCAAAAGAAAAAAAGAAAGAAAGAAACGGCAUAUAGAACCAGUAAAAAAAGGAAUGGUACGGAAAAGAGAUCCUUGCGAGCACAUGUGUUGUUCGCUGUACUGGAGGUAACCAGUGAGCACUGAGCAAUGGGUGAAAUAGAUUUGGGAAAUAAGGCCUUGUUUAGUUUUCAAAAUUUUUCAAGAUUUCUCAUCACAUCGAAUCUUGCGGCACAUGCAUGGUGCAUUAAAUAUACAUAAAAACAAAAAUUAAUUGCACAGUUCAUCUAUAAAUCACGAGAUAAAUCUUUUAAGCCUAGUUAGGUCUUGUUUAGAUCCAAAAACUCACUAUACCACAGCCUAUCUACAGCGACCUACGGACGGUCGCUAUAAAUCGGUAUAGCGACCUAUGGACGGUCGCUAUAAACAUAUACCGACCAACUUGGCCGGUCCCCAUAAGUGGCGUCGCUAUAAGUUUUAGCGUCCGACCAUACUUAUAGCGACCGACCGUUGGACAGUAAGUUGAAGAUAUAGCGACCAGCCGUUCGACGCCUUUUAGAAACUUAUAGCGACCAUUAGUCAGACGCUAGUAAUAUAUAGCGUCCAACUGUCAGACGCUAUCCAUAAUAGAAAAUAACAACACAGUUAUUCAUUAACCUCAAGAUUAGUACUAAUCAUACAAUCAAACAUACAAUCAAGGAGCCAUAAAAUCACCAAUUCCAUUUUGGACAAUACACAAUCAUGACAAUGAAGUUCAUCAUAGCUCAAAAUUAUAUUAUAUCCAUAAACAUUUGUCUUGUGUUAUUUUCCACAACUUGCACAAAUAAGUUACAUGGCAUACGUACGGUUUGGCCAUCAAGAUAUAUGCAUAGCGCAUAGAUGCUUGAACUAGUUGCACAGCUCACAUCUCAUGGUUUGCUUGCACUCAUUACAAAAUGAUUCAUAACUUAAGUCUUAACAAAAGCAUUCAUCUCUAGUUAGGAUGUACAAAAUAAGCACUAGUCAUGCACACUUCCAGCCCCUGCUUCCUGCAUGGCCACCUCAAGCUAUUACCUCCCACCUGCAAAUAAAAGAUUACAUCCAUCAAUAAAAACUAGAAAUCCAAGUCUUACAAAAUUCUAAAUUCAUGAGCAGUAGUUGUAUAGAUUUGGAAUUGAAAAAGAAUAAACUGGAGCUCCAUCUCUUCUCUCUUUUUUGUAUGCAAAGCAGAGAAGUGAUGUACAUGUUUAAAAAAAUAAUAAUUAUAUACUUGAAGGCUGGACUGUUGGAGCACCUUUCCUAGUUAGUGUUAGAUAUUUAAAUAUUUUUUAAGCAAUCAUAUUUUUGACAUAAAUAAAUUCUGAUGAUACCCAGUGAUUUUGUGGCAAAGAAGAAACCGAUAUAUGAUGCUGAAAUUAAUAUAUAUGUGAACCCAGGUUUGAAGAAAGCAGUUCAUAGAGGCUCUGCGGCUGUGGUUUGUAAGUUAAUAUGGCUCUAGGAAUUGACUAGCUAACAAGCCAACUAAUAAUUAAUAUAAAUGGCACAAUCACAAGCACAUACACAAUCUAGAGACAGAGCAAGCUGCAUGCACUUGCACAAGAUGUAAAGAUCAAGACUACUACAAGAAUGAGCUUGGGAUAAAGUACUAAUUGCAUACCUGUAUCAUGGGAUGAUUUUGAUGUCUUGCAAAGCUUCAGCUGUUAGAGAUAUCAGUAAUAAGAAAAUCUCAUCAUUCAUAAAACAAAUGGAAAUAAGAAAUAAAAAGAGGAGUUGCUUAUUACCCAAUUGUAUGGCCAUGCAAUUCCCAGGUCCUUUGCAUCGACCAUAUUUUCAACACCUGCAUAAGGGCGAGGCAAAACAACAUCUCUUUUCAUCACAAGCUUAACAACAACUUGACAAAAUUGCCUUCCAAGAGCCUGUCCUACUAGCACGCAGCUAGGAUUAGUUGCAAUAACCAUUCCCUUGGCGACAGGUUGACUAGACUUAAUGUUUGGAUAAAGUAUAACUUCUCUGCCAAUCUGAAACAAAUGAUGGAUGUAUGAGAAUUAUAUCAACUAAUAAAAACACCAUUAACCUAGAAGCAAAAAAUUGUAAGAUGAAUGAGAACUUACAUAUUCGUCAUAUGAGGAAUGAUUAGUAUCACCCUUCCUUGUAUCUAUGCCUAGACAGGGCUGCAGCUGCUGGACAUAAACAUGGUUGGAUUGAAGGGGCUCCUGGGGGAUGGGGCUGCUGUCAUUUUGGAUUGAGGGGGAUGCUGGGAUGGGGCUGCUCUCUUGGUGGAUUGAGGGAGCUGCUGGGAUGGGGCUGCUCUCAUGGUGGAUUGAGGGGGCUGCUGGAAUGAGGCUGCUCUCUUGGUGGAUUGAGGGGGCUCCUGGGAUAGGGUUGCUCUUAUGGUGGAUUGUUGGGGCUGCUCGGAUGGGGCUGCUCUCAUAGUGGAUUGAGGGGGCUGUUGGGAUGGGGCUGCUCUCUUAGUGGAUUGAGGGAGUUGUUGGGAUGGGGCUGCUCUUAUGGUGGAUUGAUGAGGCUGCUGGGCUAAUGUGCCUGCAUGAACAAGGUUUGACUGACGAUGAGAAGUUUGUUCUAAUGGAGAUCCACUAAUGGGGCUGGACUGAGGGCAUUUCUGGACUUGGCAGGGUGUAGCAUGCCUACGCAUAGUCGUGUAAUCACAUUCAUUAGUAUGUUCUUCAUAUGUAUCAUCAUUUUCAUUAAAUUCAGCUUCAACACGUGUCCCAACACCAUCAUCUUCAGACCUUGGGCUCUACAAACAUACAAGACAUAUUAUAGAUUUAUGUAGCACUUGAUAGUAUAUUAGCCAUGAAUUAGAGGAGGUGUAAACAUUUACCAUGUGAUGUUGUGAAUUAGAGCCAUUCCGUGAGAUGUUUUCUAUAUUUGACCUUUCACGUGCUAACCUUUCCUCCAACAGUUUGAAAGGUCCUUGUUUGGUUUUGGUAAUUGAGUGACAACUUAUGUGGACUAAUAGUGUUUAUGUGAGAUACACAAGAGAUUAGUCCACAGGUGAUGAUGUGAUGAUGGAGGAGCUCAUUGCAUAUGAGACAUGACAUGGAGUCAUGUGACCAUGGUGGAGAAGAUCAAGAUGAGGCUUUGCUUGAUGGAUCGGUUGUAAGAAUGAAGGACAAGUCAGAGGCUUUGAAGCGAGGGACCGCGUGUGACGGUGAAGCUUGAGCAAGACUUGGCGACGAUGGACCAAGGCAACGGUGAAGAGCAAGUAAGGUCAGAUCGAUGAACCAAUACGGUCACGUGAUGAUAUGAAGUGGAUCAUAUCAUUUGGUGAUUGGUUGGUGCAUGUGUUGCAUCAGCAUUGGAGGAGAUGGAAUGGAAUGCGCAAGGCAAAGGUAUAACCUAGGGCAUUUUCAUUUCACCGGUCAUAGGUGUGUAGAGAAGUUUAUGACCGGAUUUAGGAUAGAUGGCCGUACUAUCAAGAGGGGCAAACUUGUUUGCAUAUCGGUCAGCUAGUUCUACUUGAGUGAUCUAACUUUGCAUACAUGUUAGGAUCGAGUGGCGUGGCAAGUUUGAGAGGCUAACUCCUUUGAGAAAAUGUUUGUGAAAAUGCUAACACACUUGCACAUGGUGGUGUACACUUGGUGGUGUUGGCACAUUUGCAAAGGAGAAGGUGUUGGAGUUGAUUUUGAUCAACUUGGAGAAGAGAGAGUAGUUUUUUGGUGUUCUCUGGACAUUAGGAUGGCCUUUAGAUUGGAAUACUACUUUGAUCCAUUUUGAUUUGGAUUGAGUAUUCAUAUAGAUUGGAUAGCACUCUAAGUAAGCUUUCCAAAAUAUCCAAGAUCAUCGAAUUCGGAGUUCGGAGCUAAAAGUUAGCAACCUAACAAGUUGAACUGCAGGCACAGGACGCUGAGAGUCCGGUGCGCACAGGACGAGUCCGGUGGCACAGGACGCUGAGAGUCCGGUGCGCACAGGACGAGUCCGGUGUCACAGGACGCUGAGAGUCCGGUGCGCACAGGACGAGUCCGGUGUCACAGGACGCUGAGAGUCCGGUGCUGCUGCAAGUUUGCGUUGCUCUCUGCGUGUGAGUCCGGUGCGCACAGGACGCGUCCGGUGUGAAGCAGCAGAGCGUCCGGUACUGUUCCAGACGCGCGUGCGUGUGCUAGCCGUUGGCGGCAACGGUCGAGUUCAAACGGCUAGUGACACGUGGCUGUUUCUAAAGCACCGGACGCACUGUUCUAGCGUCCGGUGCUACCUACAGUGAGUCCGGUGCUCACGACUUUUGCCCAGUGAAGGGGCAACGGCUAGUUUAGCCCUUGGGGCUAUAAAUAGAAGUGGUGGCCGGCCUUGGCUGGUGCUGAGCACCCUUGGGACUUAGUGUCCAUGCUUGGGGAGUGCUAGUAAAGCCUCUAACUCACAUAUGCUUGAUAGUGAUCAUCCGAUUGUGUGAGUGAGCGAUUCUAGUGCGUUGCAUUGAGAGAUUGCAUCGAGUGGCACUAGGUGUUCGUGUUGCAAGCCGGUGGUGCUUGUUACUCUUGGAGGUUGCCAUCUCCUAGACGGCUUGGUGGCUUGUCACUCCGUCGAAGCACGCAAGGAGAUUGUGCGGUGCUCCGGAGAAGAGAUUAUGAGGGGUACGGUGCUCACCCCGUGGGGAUCGCGAAGAGCAACUCUAGUGGAUUGCUUGUGGCUUGGAAGAUCCCCAUCUUGAGAGUGGAUGUGCGGCACCCGCUGAGGGUUUGGCUUUGGAAUGCCAAUUAGCUCGUGAUCCAUCAAGUGGGUGUAUCGCCACAACGAGGACGUAGCUUGGUGGCAACCAAGUGAACCUCGGUAAAAAUCACCGUGUCAACAUUGUCUACUCUUCUCGGUGGUUUGCAUAUACCUGAGCUUGUAUUUAUAUUCUUUAUAUACUUGUGCUUGUGUAGUUGCUUUUGUAAUUAGUUAAGCUUGUGUAGCUUGCUAGUUACCUUCUUGCUUGUGUAAGCUAGAAAUAGUUCCCUUGCGUGGCUAAUUCGGUUUGUGUAACCUUGUUAGUCACAUUGCUUAGUUUGUGUAGCUAAGUAAGUUGCGCUCUCUAAUUUGGCAUUAGUUGCCUUAUUAUUGAGCUUCCUAGUGAGCUUAGGCUUUGUGCGCUUUGCCUCACUAGUUUGUGUAGGAGCUCCCCCGGUUUGCAAAGUACUAGUUGCAUAGGUUUGUGUGACCUUGCUUCUAGAAUUGGUUAGGUGAGCUCUUGCUAAGGUAGCACCUUGUUUUUUUGUUUAGGAUCUUUUACAAGGUGCUAGAGAACUUAGAUAGAGGGGUGUAGUCUUGGCUAGACCGAUAGUUUUAAUUCCGCAUUUGUUUCGGUUAGCCGGCGCGAUAAGUUUUAGAAAGGACUAUUCACCCCCCUCUAGUCCGCCAUCUCGACCCUUCACAGUUGUUGUUCUAGCUCCACUAUGCGUUGUCGUAGAGCUUCUUGCUCAGCUUGUGCAUCUCUAUGGGCUAAUUCUACAUCUUUAAGGGCCAUCUCUUCCAUUUGAAUGAUUGUUGGUAUGUAAGACUUCACCCCUGGUGUACCAACACUUUGGGGAGUUGGACCUAGACCCAAAACACGCACGCGUCCUUUUGGCUCUUUUUCUCCACAAACAGCAGCAAAUGCAUCACCUUCUUGGAUUGACUUUUGUGUCAACUCAGGAUGUUCCUCAAUAAUUGAUUUUAGUUUAUUCUAAAUACAUAGAGUAUCAUUGUUAAUACUACAUAAAGUAGGAUUUCAAGCUGCAAUAAAAGUUGUUAAAGGAAAAACUUACAAUAAUUGGUUCUGCAGGUGGUAACGGAACUCCAUUCUUUCUCGUAUUUGUUGUGACAUACACCUCAUCUCUUCGAGCAGGACGCCCUAGUUCAACUCCCUACAUGUGUUUCACUCUCAGUACCAAAAAAUAUAGCACAUUAGUGUUUUAAAUAAAACUCAAAUGUAGUCUGACAUACCAUUUUAUAUGCUGCUUGAGCAAAGCUCCUACUUCCCGAUGUGUGAUGUAUGAUCAACUUUGCACGGUUUGCUUUUGCUUGUAUUGUGCGAGCCUAUGGCAAAAAAUAUUAAAUUCUACAAAACCAUUGUUGAAUUCAUAUAUUUGGUUGUACUUACUUCACAUUCUUCGGAUGCCCAAUACUCUUUUAGUUUUUUCCAAUCAUCAUCAUUCAGUCUUUCACCAUAUAUUUUCCUUAUUUCCUGUUCAGUUAAUUUUGCAUCCAAAUACUUCUUCUUUAAGUAGGAUUUAAAACCUUUCCAUUUCUUUGCAGCAUCACGUAAAAACCAGGGCAUAGCUCGAUCACUAAUAUCAUAGGUUUCCUAAUGAAAUAUGGAAAAUAGCAAAUGUGUACUUAGAUUUCAGCAUACUUGUUAAGAGCCUAAGAGCCUAAUAGGGACAUAGCUAAGAGCCUAAGACAUACCUUUAUGUCUGUCCAUACAUCCAUCUUUUUUUAAUAUCAAUUUGCCUCCAAUCAGGACAAGCAACAGAUAGUUUCUUUCUCACAUGGCACCCAACAGCACUACAAAAGCGCCUAUAGUUGUCUCCAACAGGUUGACCAAGGUGAUUCACUUGAACUUUGAUUUUAGGCAUGCCAGGUGGCCUUUCAAAGAUGUCCUUCAGUAAAGUGAUACUUCUUCCUUUCCUCUUUUGUGUUGUGCCAUAAAAAUCUUCUAUACAUAAUUUGAAAAAUUAGAAGCACAAUGGCAAAGUAGUUUUUAUGCUACAAUAAAAGAGGAGAAGAGUAUGCUACAAUACCUUGAUCAUCACCUAAGAAACCUCCAAUUGGUUCACAUUCCCAAUCUUCAUCAAUUUGUUCUUCAUCAAUUUGUUCACAGUCCAAAUCUCCUUCUUCAAUUUGUUCAUUCACAUUCACUGUGGGGUUUGUUUGUGGCCUUUGGCACAAAUUAUGAUCAUGGGUUUCUCCAUCAUUGGUCUUAUAAGUUCUCUACAAGAAGAAAUAUGAUUUCUUAUGUAAAUACUUUUCAUUAAAUAAGCAAAGACAUCAAAACACAAUAAUUUCUAAGAAGAUGACCUUUGCUCUUUUCUUAGCAGGUGGUUUAGGAUUAGAUAGAUUAGGGAGCAAGGACUUCAGCUUCGCUUGGUUUGCUGCAAUGGUCUCAUUCCUCUCCCGCUCGAUCUCGGUAAGGGGGGCAUUCUGACUACUUCCUUUUCCGUUUGCCAUCUGUUUUCGUGAAAAAGGACAUGUACAAUUAGUUCUAUACAAGGAUGAAUAAAAGAUCAAUAGCAUAAUUAUAGCAGCAACAGAAAACAUACUUUCUUUGCUGUUUCUUAGGUUUUUUUAUCAACAAUUGUACCAUCUAUGUCAGUUCGAACUGAAGGAACCACCCCAUUUACAAUAUCCACAGUCACAUCUGCUCUCAGAUCAUGUAAUGGCCAUACUGAUCCAAUAUCAUUAUCUGUGUGCUCAUUCUCUAAAUUAUCUAAGUCAUACACAUCUCUUGGUUUGGACUGAACAGCAGCAGACCAGUCAUGAUCCUCAGGAACAUAAUACACUUGAAUUGGUUGUGAUGCUAGAAUGAAAGGCUCAUCACACAGCUUUUCACCCGUAUUGAACAAGUGCUUAAAGUUAACAGAUGUGAUCCCAAAUUGAUCAGUUUUUACCCAUUUUUCUUGAACACGGUUGUCAACCUAAUCACACUUGAAAAGCACCACACUUCCUUUGUGGUUAUAAUUUAGUUCAAGAAUCUCCUUAAUAACCCCAUAAUAGAUAUUGUUUCUUAUUAUCGCAUCAUUGUUAUUGUGCCCCUCAAAGGUUGUUGCCUCAGCAACCACAGCAACCCCACUAUUUUGAAUAGGUCUUCCCUCAUCAUAGGAUUUUGUGUGGAAACAGAAUCCAUUAAUACUAUAGCUGUUGUACUUGCGUGCAUCAUUGGCCCCUUGGACAAAAUUUUGAUCUCCUCUGGUGCUUCCUCACAUGUUUCUUCCACCUGUGAUUAUGAUAGACUACUAUUAUUAUAGUAACAUGUUGUUUGUCUCAAUAUCAAGUGCUAAGUUUUACUUUCACUUACAUGCAGCCUAAACCACUCAUGAAAGGAUUCAUGCUGCAUGCGGUUGAUCUCCUGUUUAUUUCGAAUGCUGAUAAAGGAAAGGUAUUGAGCAUGCUUACUACAAAAGUUAUUUGACUUUGAGAUUGGUUACAAACUUAAUGAUAUGAUGUAAGUGAUUUGGAUUACUUACUCUAAGUAUGGUACUAUGUUGCCAUAGUUGAACAAAACAUAUCUAUGAGCUUGCAUCCAGGUCUUGUGGUCUAAACUAAAUGUGUAUUUUUCCAGUCAAUCCUUGCCCGAUGCUAUGGAAGAAAGGAGUUGUACUAUCAUCUUGGUCAUUUCUAAUUUGGCGGUAAAUUUUUGUGUCACCAUGUAGAUAGCGAGAACAAAGUGUAAGGCACUCCGUGAAAUUAGACCACUCCAUAAUUGAUCCUCAGGAUGACUUUUGGUACGUACAGAACCCUUCAAUCUCAUGAGAUACCUAUACACACACACAUAAAUAAUAGCCAUGUUGAUAAUGUUAUACAUAUAGUAGAUACACAUUUGUUUUCACUAAGAUGCAAUAUUGCUAUGAUAGUUACCUCUCUACAGGCCACAUGCUGCGAAAAUGGAUUGGACCAGCUAUUUUAGCUUGGGUAGGAAGAUGUACCAUCAGGUGUACCAUCAUGUCAAAAAAAGAUGGAAGGAAUAUAGUCUCAAGAAGGCUCAUGGUUUCAACUAUUUCAGCCUGUAGACUAUCCAUAUCACUUAUUCGAAUGAUAGGGGCAGAAAGUAUCUUGAAGAAAUUACAUAUUCGAAUCACUGCAACACUGACUGUUUCUGGUAAUAUCUUUCUCACAGCAAUGGGCAGCAAGUCUUGUAGAAUAAUGUGACUCUCAUGACUCUUAAGCCCAAAUACUUUCCUCUCAUUCACAUGUACAUUAUGUCUUAUAUUAGAUGCAUAACCAUCAGGAAACUUCACCCCUUUUAGUAUUUGGCAAAAUAAUUUCAUCUCAUCUGUACUCAUUGAGUAUGGUGCAGGUGGCAAAUAAAAUUGGUCCUCUACUUCAACUGGGUGAAGAUCACUUCUAAUACCUAGAGCUUGAAGGUCUAAGCGAGAGUUCAGAUUAUCCUUUGAUUUUCCAAUUGUGCCCAAGAAUGUGUUCAGUAAGCUUUCACAAACAUUUUUGCCUAUGUGCAUGAAGUCAAAAUUAUGUCUCAACAUCAAAUCUUUCCAAUAUGGAAGUUUGAACCAAAUAGAUCUUCUCUUGAAAAUGACUAAUGGUUCACCUUCUUGGCGUUUCUUGCGUGUUGGUUUCUUUCCAGAUGGAUCCUUGCCAAAACUAGUGCUAAGAUCUUUAGUGCACUCCCAAAUUUCCUCCCCAGUAAGUGGUACAGGUGUUGUCCUAAACUCAGUACUACCAAAUUUGUUGGCAUCAAACCUAAAUGGGUGAUUUUCAUGCAAGAAUCUUCGAUGGCACAUAUAAAUAUUCUUGUUACCACUACCAAGUCUAAAAGAAUCUGUAAACAGGUGGCAAUCAGGACAUGCUGCUUCACCGGAUGUCACAGAUCCCGACACGUAUCCUAGACCAAGGAAAUCAGUAAUAGUCCACAAUAUUGCUGCGCGUAGUUGGAAGAACUCUCUCCUCGAAGCAUCAUAAGUUCUAACACCAUUUUCAAACAUAUCUAACAUGUCAUUAACAAGUGGCUCACAAUAGAGAUUCAUAUCCAUACCUGGAGCCUCCUUACCAGGUAUCAGAAAAGACAAAAUGAAAUUUGAUUGCUUCAUGCACAUUGAAGGUGGAAAAUUCAAGGGAAUACAAAUACCAGGCCAAAUACUGUAGGUAACAUUCUGCAUUCUAAAUGGAUUAAAACCAUCACUGGCGAAUGCUAGACGGAUAUUCCGACUAUCUUCAGAGAACUUUGGAUGUUUCUUAUCAAAGUCAUCCCAUAGAGGUGAAUCUGUGGGGUGUCUUAGCAGACCAUCUUUUUUUUCUGCCUUCAUCAUGCCAUCUUGUUAGACUAGCUGUUUUUGAGGACAAAAACAGCCUUUGGAGACAUUUCUUUAUUGGAAACUAGCGUAGAACCUUCAUAGGAACCUUAUAUGUAUGUUUCCCAUCUAGAGACUUCCUUACUGAUUUCCACCGUGAAAGCUUACACUUUGGACAUGAAUCCAGAUCUAUGUUCCCCUUCCAGUAGAGAAUGCAAUUGUUUUUACAGGCAUGAAUACUAGUAUACCCAAUCCCUAUGGUUUUCACCAAUUUCUUAGCCUCAUGAAAGGUUUUAGCUAGUGCUGAACCCUCAGGGAACGCAUCAUUAAGUAGCUCUAGCAGCAGGUUGAAAGAUUUGUCAGACCAUCCUCCAAGGAGUUUAAGGUGGAGCAAUCUAAUAAUAAAUCGAAGUUGUGUAUAUUUCUUGCAAUUAGGGAACAAUUCUUUGCUAUUUUCCGCGACUAACUUUUGAAUGGCAACUAGUUCCUUACAAGGAUCUCGAACAGAACUGUCCUCCUCAUAAUCUCCCCUAUCAUCUAAGCCAGCAGCUAAGUCUCUAAGAAAAUCAGAUAUGUCAUCAUCUUCAUUGGACUCAUCCACACCCUCAACAUCAUCACCAACAAAGUCUUCAAGAUUCACACAAGGGGUAGCUUCUCCAUGUAAAUUCCAUGUUCUAUACCCUCUUAGGAACCCAUCACAUAUCAAAUGUUCACGGACCUCACUAGCCUCUUUCUAGAAAGAGUUGACACACUUUCUACAUGGGCACAGUAUCUUGCUACCAACAGCUGAGUUACUCAAUGCAAAAGCUAAGAAACUAUCCACUCCUUGCAAAUAUGCCUUUUCGUGCCUACAUGAAACUAUUGUGUUAAAAGAUAUUUUAUAUAGCUACAUAUAACGCUAUCACUAUUUAUGAAGCUACUAUUUUUUACCUAGCAUCAUCAUCAAUCCAAGACUUAUCCAUCAAUCGUUAAUGAGGGAAGAACAACAAGCUGUCCAAAUCAUAUAAUCCAUCCAUGAAACUUGGGGCACCAAAAAUUAAUGGUUCUUAAAAUAAGCACACAUGCAGACGGAAGAGAGAGAGAGAGCGUCACCUUAAAUCCACAAGCAUGAUGACAACUGCUUGUUCGAACGACACCGGAUCUUAACUCGAGGACACCUCCCAGAUCUUGACUUCUGGCUUCAGCACAACAGCUCCUACUACUCCCUCCUGCUUUUCAUAUCAUAUCGAGAAAUCCCAUCUGUUACAAAAGAGACUUAGCAUUAGACACUCCAACAUAACAAAAAAAAAUAUUGUUAGUUAGAGAAAUUCUAUGAAUCUUGAGCUACAGAGAGAAAAAAAUUUAGUUGGUCAGCAGGGAACAUAUAACAUGCAUGUGGUCAGCAAUAACACUCAACACUUCUCAUGGUGUUUGUAUUAUUUUGCAAGGAAUUAUAUUGUUUUUGUUAAACUAUAUGAAAUGUACUAAAUUUUUUAAAUAUAUCAAUAUUAGUAGGAAUGUGUAAUGUAGAAACAGGGCCGUGCGACAAAAUCCGGGACCUUGUUCGAAAAUUUAAAAUAGGCCCUGAAAAUAAUGACAACAAUAUAUAUACUAAAAUGUUUUAUAUAGCAAACCUCUGAAACAAAUAAUUCCAACACAAAAGUUCUACACAAACUGGCCAAAGUUUAGCAUUUAGUAAGUAAUUAAUCAAUACAAAUAAUUCCAACAGUAAAAUACUAUAUAUGACAACUCCAAUUAGCCUCAGCCUCUAUGUCAGUUCGCCAGUUUGUAAAUCAGCAUAGGUGUAUAACAGAUUUCAGAAGUUCAGGUUUCAUUCCAGGCCUAGCAGAAAAUGGCGAGAUGACAGACAAUAUUGGAGUUGUUCCAAAUUUACUUUAGGAUAUUGGCCGGGCUUCUGACGAAGCGAAGCGGAGGCCCAUCACGCCGCGCCCGUGUGUGCAUGGGGGGUGCGGGGGGGCGAAGCCCCCCCCCCUGCGGUACAGUAUAUAUGCCCUUGCUAGACUGUAAAUUUGAGGCCCCAAAAAAUUGAGCAAAUUGAUAUUUACCUUUGAAUUUGAUUAAAGAAGAUCUCGAAGUGUUGCCUGCUCCUGGUUGUUGCCUGCUCAAUAGGGAACAGAUCCACCCCUGGGUGCUGCCUGCUCGAGACAAGUGCUGAGGAUGUGGGGUGCCAGGGAGGGGAGCAGGGGCACUCGAUGGGAAACCGCCGUAGUGGACGGGGCGGGGUCGCCGGAGAGUCGCCGGCCUAGGCGGCGAGCGGAAGGGCCGCCGGCCUGGUUGGCGAGCGGAAGGGCUGCCGACCUGGGCGUCACGCUGGGGAGACGUCGGCCUGGGCAACACGCCGGGAAGCAGCGCGGCCUGGGCGGGGCUCCGGGGAGACGCUGGCCUGGGCGGGGCGCCUGGGAGACGCCGGCCUGGGGGCGACGGGACGGCGGCGCUGCGAGGAUGCGAGGAUGGGAGGAUCACGAGGAUGCGAGGAUGGGUGCUGCGAGGAUGGGACGGCGGCGCUGCGAGGAUGCGAGUUUCUAGAGUCUGCGAGGAUGCUGGAAAUUAGAUUGGAGUGGCUAGGUUUUAGUUUUUUCAUCUGACAAGUGGGCCUCCAAAAAUUUAGACGCCAGUUAAGACAGAGAAGGGCGCCAUGACGUUUUCGUCCUCCAAAUUGUAGACGCGAAAUCAAGGGAUGUUGGGCGCGCAGGACCAAUUUAAUAUGGCGACCGAUCGGCGGACCCAGUUCGUAAGAAAUAGCGUCCGACCGUCCAACGGUAAACCUAAUUAAAACUAGCGUCCAACCGUCGGACGCCAAAACAAAAUAUAGCGUCAGACCGUAAGCCACUAUGCUAUACCGACCAACCGUCCAACGCUAUUUCUAUAUCUUUAGCGACCCUGGUCGGACACUAGUUUGGGUUGUGGUAUAGUGACUUUUUGGAUUUUGACACUGUAGCACUUUCUUUUUUAUUUGACAAACAUUAUCCAAUCAUGGAGUAACUAGGCUUAAAAGAUUCGUAUCGUGAUUUACAUAUAAACUGUGCAAUUAGUUAUCUUUUUUAUCUAUAUUUAAUAUUCCAUGCAAGUGUCGCAAGAUUCGAUGUGAUGCGUAAUCUUGUAAAGUUUUGGGUUUUUGGGUGCAUCUAAACAAGGCUUUACUCUAUAAUUAGACAAUGUUUGUCAAAUAAAAAUGAAAAUGCUACUGUAUUAAAAUUUAAAAUUUUUUGCGAAAACACGGCGGGCGAGCGGCAAGGAAUACGUGAGUGGUGGUCGCGUCACGAGCUGUGACGUCGCAUGAAUUGGGCGAGGCCGGCUGAAAAGGCAGUAGCCUUGGCAUCUUUGCCCAAACCGGAAAAAGCGGUGAGCAUCCACGCGAAGCUUCGCCCUCCAAAAUGUAACACUAGAUUAGCUGCACAAACGUUAAUAUAUAUUUCGUAAUUAAUCUAAUAGUAAUUAUUUUAUAUUAUAAAUAUUAAUACUAUUUCAUACUAACUUUAGUCAAUAUUUUUAAAUUAUUUAUCUCAAAUUUUGAAUUGUUUGUCUCCUUAAAACACAUACGAGAAUUGCAUUUUUUUAUUGCUAAGGUCUACAUGGAGCAUUGGUGACCGAGAAUCACUGCUGCUCCAUCCAGAAGUACUGUAGUCUCAGAGAACAUUCAUGUGAACCUCCCGAUCCGACACGUAGCAUCGGCAUGCCCGACCGCAAAUUGCUCCUCUGGUGGACACUGCACGGCAGCUAGCUACGACAAAAGGAAUUGAAGCUUGCAAAGGGCGCUGAGAGCAAGGAUAGGAAGCACCUCGCAAUGCCUUGCCUAUUUCGGCAAGCUAUAUAGCUAGCUAGCUAGGGUACCGAUAUGUUCCAUGUAGUCAGGGCAAAGCCACGUUCAAUUUACCUAGUGUAGAGGCACCGGGGUAAUUUUUUUUCUGCCAUUAAAUGACCUUUUUUUAUCAUAUAUUUCAAUAAUUACAGGCACCGGGGUAAAUUUUUUCUGCCAUUAAAUGACCUUUUUUCAUCAUAUAUUUCAAUAAAAUCUUGAAAGUUACUUAGACAGUGCACAAGGGUUCAUUUGCUUGUAGCUUCGCCUCUACAUGUAGUAAUGGGGAGAUGAGUCAUGAGUGGAUGAGUUGACGUACUCCGUGCGUGGUAGGUGGAUGAGAUUCCUGCAUGCCUAUCAAUAAAAUCUUGAAAGUUACUUAGACAGUGCACAAGGGUUCAUUUGCUUGUAGCUUCGCCUCUGCAUAUAGUAAUGGGGAGAUGAGUCAUGAGUGGAUGAGUUGACGUACUCCGUGCGUGGUAGGUGGAUGAGAUUCCUGCAUGCGUUAUUCUCAGCCACAGGGAGGAAUCACGAAUAAUGCACCGCGCGCACCUGCUGUCGCUCACUCUAGAGAUGAAGGCGGCUCUCCCACCCAUUAGAUUCGCUUUGAGAAAUAUACAAAUAUACAUCUCAAAGCAAUUUUACAUUGAGAUAUGUGUUUGCAUAUUUCUCAAAAUAAAUCUAAUUGUAGGAGAGUGAGGGCAUAUGCCCUUAAGGGCAACUCCUCUUUUUCUCUCCACUGCUAGCUGCUGCAGAGCAGGGCCGUCUCAAUAAUUUUAAGAGUCUUUGGGCAAGUAAGAUAGUAAGGGUCUAGUAAUGUAAUUUUUUAAUACGGCGAUUAAAACAUAAGCACUAAUAAUAAGAAUUAACUUGCAACAUAGAUUUGAGGAAGUUAGGCCUGUCUCUCAUCGUGUGUGAAUGAAUGGUGUCGCGUGUCGUGACUUCACAAUGUCUCGCCGCACAAAGCGAUAUCACCGUAUUUGGCAAUUGGAAGGUGAAAACGGUCAACUAAUCAGGAUUGAUCGACGAUCAUGAAUAGCUAAAUAUCUGAAUAGGAAGUGAUGACAAGCUAAUUUCUUAUUUUUCAAGACUUGUGCUAAGUGUAUGAACAUGUAAAGUUCUAUUUCAGUAUUCCAAAUAUAUAUUAUUGCUAUAUAUAUAGACAUAUAUUCAUGAGUCCCUCUAUGGAAUGGGCCCCCGGCCGUCGCACCUAUUGCCCUCCCCUCUAAGACGGCCCUGGGCCUUUGCUUCCGAUGAUCCCAUGCCCCGCCCCGCCCGAGCCGGUUGAUUGCAGCUAGCUGGGAAUCUGGCUGCACAACGGAGAAAGCGAGCGGAUGCGUGGCACCCGCAGCGAAGUUGGUGGUGUCUGGUUCGGGAAAGGCUUGUGUUGUGUGGCACGGGAGCGGCCGGGAUCAGGUGCUGCCCUCCCAAACUCCAAGUUUGAUGAAGUCUUCCUUUUUUUUUUUGAAGAUUUUUAGGAAAACAUAAUAGCAUCUGUGAGUUCAAAUAAUUGGAUUAUAAAAACAUUUUUUAUAAUAAACUUUAGUCAAAGUGGAGGACACAGGCAAACUUACGUACGGAUGAGCUUUAACCACACAACCGUGCCAUCUGAAUGCUUUGAAGCAUAUAUAAUGAGCAUGGGUCCAUGGCUCCAUCCUGCCCCGCAGCAUUAGCACAAGACCAGCAAAUAGCUGGAUAUACAGAAUCAACUAGCUAGAAGCGAUGUUGCAUGGAGUAGUAAUGAGUAGCAGGAUUUGCAUUGCAUAUGCAUGCAUGUGACUGCUUCCACAAGAACUCUCCAUUACUGCAUGGUUUAGGCUCAGUUUGUUUUUAUAGUUAAACUUUGACUCUUGUCACAUGGAAUGUUUAGACAUAUGCAUAAAGUACUAAAUAUAGACUAUUUACGAAACUAAAAACAUAGCUAGAGAGAAUAAUUUGCAAGAUGAAUUUUUUGAGCCUAUUUAUAAUUAAUCUAUGAUUAGAUAUUAAUUGUUAAAUAAAUCGAAAAUACUACAAUACUUGUUAAACUUUAACACCUCUAACCCAACAUCCUUUGCAGCUCAACCUCUACGAUGAGAGCUAGGCGCGCUGGCUGCUCUGCUGCUGCACCAGUGUUUUUUCAUGCAUGCAUGUCAAAUGGCAGGCAAUUGGGACUUGGAAGACUACCAAGUACUUACAUGGCACAUCACACAUAUCAUGGAUUACAUGUAACAGCAUAAAACUCAUCGAUGAUCAUGGCUUCACAUAUGUGCAAAAUUGUGCUUGUGCAUACACGCACACAUGCCAUAUACAUGCACACGUACACACAUGCCCAAGGAUACAAACAAAAAGUACUACCUUGUUUAGAUGUCAAAAGUUUUUAAAGUUUUACAUUGUAGCACUUUCGUUGGUAUUUGACACAAUUAUUGUCCAACCAUAGAUUAACCAGACUCAAAAGAUUCGUCUCGUAAAUUACAGACAAACUGUAUAAUUAGUUAUUAUUUUUAUCUAUAUUUAAUGCUCCAUGCAUGCGUUUAAAGAUUCGAUGUGAUAGGAAAUCUUGUAAACUUUUAGAAUUUUGGGUCCAUACUAUACUAUACUAUAGGGUUGUAUAGUUUUCUGUGUACGUAUGCUUCAGAUGCAUCAACACCUUUAUUUAUACCGUACCACCAAUAAGGAAACUCCAAAUUAAAUCUGCCUGUUAAACACAAAGUUCUUCCCAGCAUCGUCAUCAUAUAAUUAAAUUUGACCAUCGUUGCCUCUAUCUAUGCUGACAAGCAUGUUUAUAUAUGUAACAGCGCGUACAUGUGAUAACAACGGGAAACAAGCAUCCCGGGAAACAAGCAUCCAUCCAUCUAACUUGCGCAUUUUGGCACUUUAAGGUCACUCACAAUGCAAGACUCUAUCACAGAGUCCAAGAUAAUUAAUUACAUAUUAUUUAUGGUAUUUUGCUGAUGUGACAGCAUAUUUAUUGAAGAAAGAGGUAGAGAAAAUAACUUUAUGUCCAUAUUUAUCCAAGUCUUAUUUAGACUUUAUGUCCAUAUUGUUCGAGGUAAUAAAUAACUUUAGACUAUGAUAGAGUUUGUAUUAUGAGUGUCCUAAGAAUCACCAUGCAUCAUGCAUGAUCAAACCACAGAUUUUUAGCAAGAAAAUGAUACGGAAAAUUAAUCUGCUUUUUGCAGCACUAAAUUUAUACACACACACACACACAUAUAUAUAUAUAUAUAUAUAUAUAUAUAUAUAUAUAUAUAUAUAUAUAUAUAUAUAUAUAUUAGAGUGGAUUUUAUGUCAUGUGGGAUAGCCGUCACCCCCAAGGGUGAUAACGCACCACGUUCCAGAUUUGCGCCAUGUGAUGUUUUGGACGGUUCUGAUUGAAUUACUUAAUAUAGAAAGAAGCAACAUGUAUUUUAGGAUGCUGGCUCAUUUUGAGUAAGUGGUCCAUUCGCUUGCUUCAACACCCUCGAAAAAAAAUCACGACACUCUGGUUGUUUCCAUCAAUAUGCGUCGUGGAGAAAAGGGAUACAGCGGUAGACUAGCUGCGUGUAAAAAUCAAAAGUUGCCAUGCAGCUCAUAUUCCUGCUAUUUUAUACUGACGAUUUCUGAUUCUCAAGGGUCCUUCAAUGUCAGGUUGGACCACUGUGACUAGUGGACAUCGUUCCAAAUUUGCAGAUCAGUAGUCUGUUAUGGAGAAAGUGCUUCACCACUAACUCGUGCAGUAGCAUGCGCGGACAAAAACACUGGUAUAGUUCGCAAUGUGAGAAUGCUUUCUGAAUGGUAAAACUCCAGAGCAAGGUGGAAAAACUCACUGCACCGUUUAGUAUAGUACAAACUGAAGUUUCAGUUCUGAUUAUUUCCCCCUAUAUGCUUGUAUCAGCUAUCUUGUCACUUUCUAUGCUAUAGGCUGGACCUGAGGCUAAGUCUGAAGCCCAACGCAAUACAUCACACGAACAUCUUUAAGAAGGGUGGGUGGCUUGUAGCACUUUCGUUUUUAUUUAACAAACAUUGUUCAAUCAUGGAGUAAAUUGGCUCAAAAGAUUCAUCUCACAAAUUACAGGUAAACUGUGCAAUUAGUUUUUAUUUUCGUCUAUAUUUAAUGCUCCAUGCAUGCGACCAAAAAUUCGAUGUGACGGAGAAUCUUGAAAAUUUUUGCGAACUAAACAAGACCUAAAGAAGUAAGGCAGCAUAUGUGCAGCAGCGUGUAAGUUGUAGUCUGUCCAAAAAUGGGGGGGUGCAUUAUCCACCGUGGGUGAUAGAUAUCCCCCAUGCAACCAGGAUAUUUCCCAUAUAUAAUAUAUAUAUAUAUAUAUAUAUAUAUAUAUAUAUAUAUAUAUAUAUAUUAUCGAGGAUAUCAAUAAGGGGUACCCACAUUUAUAUCCUAAAGGAAAUAAAUUUUAAUGGAUAACAUUAUCCGCCUACACCAAUCAGUAGAAAAAGCCCAACACGCAAGCCACGUUGGGCCGGCCCAAUCUCAUUUCUGCCUCUUCCCCAUCCCAAAUCAGCAAAUUCAUCAUCCCAAUCUCAUUCUCCAUACACUCCCGUCCAUAAUAAUCAACACAAAUAAUCAAUCUCCAGCAAAGGAGCUCACAGGGGGCAGGGCACUUGAGUCAAAGGAGAACCAGCAUCAACGUCCAGUAGAGGGGGCCUCCCGGUGGCAAGCAAGCUGCAGCCUCUCGCCGGAAGGAUGGAAUGGAGAUCUAAGAAGGUAUGCAUGUACGCAACAAGAUGGAAGAUGUACACAUAGUCCCAGUAAUCUGUAUGGCAUAGAAUCAUACCCGUUUCAUGUUCACUGAUGACUAGCCGGACAGGAAGGGAAUGGAGUUCCUUGAAGGGGCCGCCAUCAAUGCUUAGGCGCUACCCAAAACGAUCCGAUGCCGAGGCCACCAUACAAGCACGCCGGCGUCGUCUGCGCGGGCUCGAACACGCAACUGCCGGGGCUCUGCCCACAUGGGCUGGGACACGUGCGUCGUCGCGGGGAAGCACCUGGCCAUGAUGCUGCUGGAUGCAGGGGAGGGGCCCAGCUGCCAUUGCCACCGCCGGAGGGGCAUCGGAAAGGCAAGUCGCGAUCUUAUCCACAGGAGAGGGGAAGGGACAUUGCGGCCAGGGGCCACCGCCACUAGGGGCGGCGUCAGCAACACCAAGAACACCAGUACGAGACGACGCCGCUAGAUUCGCCAGGGCAAGGGAGCGCCACCACCACCACCACCAUCGGUGAAGGGAGGACCCGAGGCGUUGCCUAGCCGCCGGUGGGGGGGGGGGGCACCGGCACCCUAGGAGGAGAGGCCCUCUUUCCAGUGAGGAGCUAGGGCCGAGGAAUGUUGCCGCUUGGGGAGGUGGCAUAUAUAGACACACACAACAGUUUCACUGGACAUUAUAUUACAAGUUCUUGCAAACAAAGAACAUGGAUAGAAGAGAGGCCAUCAACCAAAAGGCUUUAAGCUACAUAUGCAUGGUUAGGCAAGAUAAUAUGCUAUAGUGACCAUUAGUAUUGGCCUGCUGUCGCCCGCUUGCCCUCUCCUCUAUAAAUACCGGCCUUCCCUUCAUUCUCAGCUUCAUUGCCUGGACUGCGCUGUGCUGCAAGGAGGUAGGGUGAUCGAUGAACCACAUCGCUUUUCCUCUUUCUGCAUCAAUUCCGUGACAUCUUUUUACAUGCAUGCUAAAUAAUUUUGUAAUGAAUUUCUCCUCUUUCUGCAUUACGGUUUAGUGUGAUAAUAUAUAUAUAAUUAUAUGUUUGAAGAAAUUUUAAAAAAUAUUACACUGUUUCUUACUAAAAUCAUCAUAUUUAAUAAAAAUUAGAUAAAAUUGAUAUUUCUUGUACUAUAAAUAUUAAUAUUUACAUACGCAUUUAAAGGAAUGACUGUGCUGGGGACACUGCCCCUACUAGCGCCCCUAGUUCCGCCACUGGCCAUGUACGUACUUCAAUUCCAUCGCCUGGACGGCCUCUGGGUUCAUCGAUCGAUUCUUUCAGACUUGUAAUCUUUCGCCCAGACGGUGUGCGCACUGGAGAAGGGGAUGCGCAGCUACAAGCAGGACAACUUCUUCGCCUCGAGGCCCAACGUCAACUACCAGCCAAUUAAGGACGCCAGGUCCGACGUUCUGUACCUUCCAAGCAUGUAGUACUAGUGUACUACAGCAUGGUCAUUCCUGACUCCUCUGUUUUUUUAAUUAUUUAUCGACCGCCUAGCUCCAACAGAUAGGUCAUCAGACCUUUUCAGAAAAUAGUUGUUACUAGUAGAAGAAAGUUUAAGCCAUUCUAACUGAGUUAGUUGUGUACCUUUCUUUAAAUAAUAGUAAGGUGUAAUGAAGUUUAAUACCUAGUUACUACUGUUAAUGCUACUAUUAUUUUUGGUUCAUCUGUGACAAUUCUCUGAAUGCCAAUAGGGAUGGUAGUUCAACCUUUUUUGAAAAUUUGUCAAUUCUAUUAGUAGCAAUAUGCAGCCUUUUUCUAGGUUGUUAAUCUGUUUACCACUUUUCUUUGAACACUUCUUUUUUUGUAUAUAAAUAACGGUCAUCCUUUAGUUGAAAGUAUAUUUUAUGUUAUAUAAUUCCUCUUAUACCGACCUCUACUAAAAUAAUCAGCAACUCUUAUUUUUUUCUAUUAUUUAUGAUUUGACUAACAAUAUUUUUUUUAGAAUAUUUACUUCAGUAAAGUGUGAAUAUAUCACUAGAUUUGUUAUUAAAGUAUAGUUUUUUAUAUAUAUUUAAUAUGACAGGGAUGCCACGCAAGAUGCUCCGAGCAGCUGUCCACCGUCAUACUGCUCACUUAUUUCCCCCUCCUUCUCACCUAUUGCCACCACCACCACCUCCUCUCCUAUUUCCACCACCCCCUCACUCUUCUCCUCCAACUCCUUGAAAUGACUUAAUUUAGAACGAAGAGAGUACAAUUUUAUUAUCUAGAGGAUAUUAAUAAAUAUAUAUGAUAAAAUUGUCAUAUUUCUCUCUGAAUAUAAAUAAAAAUUAUAAAUUUAUACUAGUACAAAAUUUUGUUGACACAUAUUAGGGGGGCAUAGUCCCUGCCAGCCCCCCUUGGCUCCGCCACUGGCCAUACUUCUAGUGAUUAUUAUUAUCGGUGUUGGUGGUAUUAGUGAUUGGAGUUCUGGUACUGAUGCGAUCGAUACAAGAAGAGGAGAGGGAGGAGCCACUCAGACGAUAUCAAGCUGGUGUCGCCGCCGCAGAAGAUAAGAGCAGCCCCAACGCUCCAUGCUGUCUAGUGGUCUCAUUUGUCCAUGUAGGCUCGGAUGCUAGGUGGCUGCAAAAAGUAAAAAGACGGUGGCCUUGCAGGCUGUCAUAGGAGCCUGCAGAGGUAUCGUUUCCCUCACCUGACAAAUUGAUGAAGGCACCAUGAAAAUCGCGUUGGGAGAGGAAUGGCAGUCACAUGCUUACGUCGGGAUUGGAAAAGUAAACAGGAAAUGCCAGGGACAGUGGUUAGUGUAGGACCAAGGGAGGCAUAUGCAAGUGUACCUUGCGUUGAGGCAGUGUUGGUCUCAGUACGCCCACUCCUACAUGGAUGCAUGCUUUUUCAUGAGGCAUAUGAUUCUAUAUGCCUGAGAUGGGGUUGCUCUAACAAGGCAAAAGGAGACAUCAAUAUCUCCUGCGCCCAGCAGGGGCGUCCUGUUGAGUUCGCCAACCAUCUCGAAGCUAGCGGCCACUGCAGGUGGCUAAGGUCUAGAAUUGGCAAAAUUAUAUGGACAUUUGUAUCUUCAUACAUUAUCAAUAUUUUGUAUAUAUCGGAUUAGAUUUAUUAAAAAUGUUCCACUGCUACUUUCUAUGUAUGUUUUUCUUUUUGAGCUGGGCCUUGUUUACUUCCCAAAUUUUUUGCAAAAUUGCUACAGUAUCUCUUUCGUUUGUAUGUGACAAAUAUUGUCCAAUCAUAAACUAACUAGGCUCAAAAGAUUCGUCUCGUCAAUUUCGAUCAAACUGUGUAAUUAGUUUUUAUUUUUAUUUAUAUUUAAUACUUCAUGCAUACGUCUAAAGAUUCGAUGUGAUGGGAAAUCUGAAAAGUUUUGCAAAAUUUUUGGAGAACUAAACAAGGCCCUGGUGUCCUCGCUUUCCUAGUAUGGUCAGGAAACCGCAGCUCUCCCGUCACUCACCGCCACCCACUCGGCUGACCCGGGCCCGUCCGUCCGCACGACGGACCCGACUUUCACCUCCACAGGGCCCCGCGCGAGGACGCUUUCUUCACUUCCAGCGUCGGCGUCUAGGAUCCCUCCAAUACCCUAGCCGGGCCCCGCUUGCGCGUUAGAGUGAUUAGUGGUUAUGGUGCUGGGGUUUCAGGAUUCCCCUUAGCAACUCCAACCGUUUGGGAUAUUUUGGCAACUUCUCAAAUGUUAUGGCAAAGAAAAAAAGAUCAAUCUCUAAUAGUUUACCAUAAUUGUCUUGGCAAAAUCUAAAGUUGGGCCCACGAACUUGUUUUUUUUUUGCCGCGGGAGCAGGAAGGCAGCGUCCUUCGCGCGUGUUCUCGCAUCAAAACGCCACCGCCGUGUCGUACGUAGCAGCCCUUGGAUACUCGGCCAUCACCUGAACCCUAUGUGCUACGAUCUACUCGGCCAUCAGCAUGGAAACGAACCCUAUCUGAACCACCAUGCCGCAACCCGGCCUAAACCCUAUGUAUGAACCAUACUGGCAUCACCGGAGGGAUCGAAACUGCCAUGGAAUCAAAGAAACUAGUGGUGGUGAUUGCAAGUCGAACUAUUGGAAGCAAAUGGAAAAGGAACACCGAGUGGAAUCAAAGAAACUAGCGGACUACGGCGGAAACGAGUAUGGACGUUCCAGUUGGUGUUGGUCGAUGAUUUUGAUGCUUGUGUGUGGAUCGUCGGCGCCUGAACCACUUCGCGGUCGAGGGACGAGGGUCUUCGCGCGCGCGGAAGCCUCUGGCGGCGCGCGUCGAGUCGAGGAUGCACGUGAACUCCCGACGUGCAAAUAUCCGCGCUGCCCAGGGAUUUUUUUUCAGACUUGCUAAAGAUGGGGAGGAGCCGAGGAAGGAUGGGAAACUAUUACAGAGUGUUUUUUUUUUGUCAAUUUGCCAAAAAAAUCAAAGAUAGAGAGAAGGGAUAGCAAACUGUUGGAGUUGCUAUUAAGAGCGUUACUAGUACCCCCAUUUUGCCUCCUAUCACUAUAUUUUUUUUUCUCGAUCUAUUCAGACCUAAUUUUUAGGUUCAUUUAUGGGGGAAUUGUGUGGUGAGGGAGGGAGGAUUAACAAACGGCUUGCUAAUCUCUACUAUAAUUGACCCAGCAGAAUUAUGCUUGGUCCACCCAGAAAAAAACAUUAUGUAUGCAGAAAAAUGCACACGAGAUUUUGUCUCUAUCAAAAUCAAUGUCUCAAAAUCAACCACGACCAAAUCUAACGGCUGUAGGAAAAAGUUUGAAGCCUGCAUCAAACUCUCCCGUACUUCUUCCCCUUACGCCGACCCUCACGAUCGACCGCUCCUCACGAUCGUAAAAAAUGUGGGCGGCGGCUGCUUCCCACGCAGCAGGCCAACGCCCUCCGCAGGCCGGCGCCGCGGCAGCAGGCCAACGUCCUCUCCGACUCCUGAAUCCUGUGCGCAGCAGCAGGUCAGUGCCCUCUGGAUCCGUGGCAGGAAGUCUUGCCUCUUUUUUUUUGUUUUUGCGAUUCGAGUCUACGCGAUGUUGUUGACGAGCGUCUGUUGACGAACGGCACGAGCGGCUGUUGACGAACGGCAGGAAUCACGUGUCUCAGGCUACGGCAGGAAUCACGCUUAGGCUUCUUCAAUGACAAAAUCUGUUGAUCAUGUAUACAUAAUACGGCUGAUCCGUAGGUGUUGACGACAGACUCCUGGCUGUUGUGACAAAUAUCAGGAUAUCACGAACGGCUGUUGCGGCUGAUCCACAGCGGAGGCGUUCUCGCCUACAACAACACGCUCUAGGACAUUGCAAUGUCUACGCCAGAAGAUACACGUGAGGCGCUAAGAAACGUCACCAACAUCCUUGGUACAACUACUAUAUUUGGUCUCCAAAAUUAUUAAUUUUUAUAUAUUAAUAGUUCGAUCCAAAAUUAUUAAUUUUUAUAUACCAACAUCCUUUUUACAACUACUAUGUUUGCAUUGUCUCAAUUUCUCCGUUUACAGAGUCUUUCUUAAUUUUUAGUAUAAUAGUAGAGAUACAAUAUCAUUAUGCAAAACCCUAUAAUAUAUGUUUGAGUGUAUUUUCAAUUUCCUAUUCACAUUUAUAUUCUUGUAAUAAAUAGUAGUUAUUUAUGAGGAUCACGUACGUAAUAAUCUCUCAAGCAACUCAAAUAUCCUCUCAUAUUUUUUGCCCAUGUGGGGCAUUGCAUGCUAAAUAUAAAAAGAAUGGCAUGUCAAACUGAUAUUAUAUAUAUUGCAUAUGCAGAUCACUAUAGAGGAUGAAAAUGAAGUACAGUUCAAAGAUAAUGGCGUACAAACGCCUCGGCUAAAAACCAAUGAAAAUCCAAUGCAUGUUCUCAGUCACAUGAUGGUGUUGCAUUAGUUUAAUAAGCCAAAGAAAGCAAACAAUAUACAAGUCAUGCCUCAAGGUGAUUCACCAUCAAUUUACACUUAUGUCUUUAAAUUUAGGAAUUAAUUAAUUACUAAUAUAAAUAAUAUCUUUGUAGAUUAUGUGUGUACGCAACAAGAUGUUGAGGUAAUUGAAUAUAUGAAAGGGAAAAGUAAAAAGCAUUUACUUGUUAGAAUCGAUGAUUGUUGGGGAGAAAGAGAUGACAUGGAUUGUCUUUUUAUUGGGAAUGAGGAAGUCAAUGGCGCGGUAAGCAUUUUAACGCUUGCUUCAGCAUUAACUAAUGUCCAUGAGAAAUAUUUGCCAAUCUUUUAAUGACAAUAUAGAAACUUACAGGUCAUGAGUCUUUAUAUCCAAUUGAUGCGGCACAAAGAACACCUACUUCAUAGAGAGUGUGGAGAUGUUUAUUUGGAGAAUACGUGGUUCUCUCAAAUACUACGAGGCGAGGGAGAGAAAGAUGAGACAAAAAAGACCUGGAUAAAAGAGGACAUGGUUGAAACAAGGGUACACAAUUAUUUAAAUGUUGAUAUAGUAAGCUUGACAAUAAGAUAUGAUAUAUGCUAAUUUUAUAUACUUUCAAAUGUAAGGAAAUAAUUUAGAUAAAUCUCUAUUACCACAGGUCUUCCUUCCUAUCAACAUUAAAAAGUUUCACUGGGUACCUGCCAGUCGUGAAUGCAAAAGAAGGUGAAAUACAUGUUUUGGAUUCAUUCGGACAAAAUAUGACAAACUGGACAGAUCUCAGAUAUACGUUACAACUUAACAAUUUAUAUACAGACUUCUUCAAAAUUCUCCAGUAUCUCUUUCUUAGUUAAUCUUGGUGUUUCGGUCAUUCCAGUUAAUAGGAAUGGAAAGACUAAUAAAGCAUGCACUGAAAUCUAAAUUACUGGACCAAACUAAAUGGCUACUGUAACAUCCUAAAAAUUCACAUUCAAAAAUCACUCACAUUAAAAAAUUAUUUUUAAAAUAUAUUUCAAAAAUUAUAAAUCAUUUGAGCUCUAUAGUAUCUCCAUCUAAUUCUUUUUCAUCCAUCCUAAUUAUCCAUCUUUAAAUAUAACCUGCACCGCAUGGCAUGAGCAUCACAUGUCCGGUACUCAUCCCUCUUGCUCGCUCACUCUGCCCGAUACCCGGCAACGGCGCGUGCGCCGACCCCACCACCAUCGGCACCGCGCAGCGCUCGCGCCCGGCCCCCUCGCCGAGCGCACUCGCUCGCACACGCACCGCGGCAUGCGGGCCCCACCUCUUGUCUUUUUCCGCUCCUCUUUUGUUGUACAAAAAGAUAGCAAGCCAGAACGCACAACUAGGCACCAUCUAUAUUUUUCGCGCGCAAAUAACAGCGAGUACCAGCAAGGUUUCAUGCAAGAAAACAUAGUAGUGCACACACACGAAUAUAUCUCAUGCAUGCAUGCAUGCAGGACAAGCAUGCACCGACCAUUUGCAUGCACCUACAUGCAAGGACAUGGUGAUUAGGCACCGUCCAUUUGCAUGCAUCAUGCAUGCAAAUUAGGCACCGACCAUGCACUACAGUAGCAAUUCUAAUGGCACGCAGUUGAGCGCUUGUCCUAUAAAAGCUAGCCUCGGGUGCUCACUCUCACCACCCGAGAAGCACGUUCACUCACUCGCUCUCACUUCGCGUAUAUCGUAUACGGCCAUACGCACAAGCCGAGCUCGACUGUCGUCGCAAGACGAGGUGAGCAGCUCAUGAGCAUCUCCUUACUCUUCCUUGUCUUUUUGUAGUAUUUUUCUGUAUUUCUCCUUAUAUUUGUCUGUAUCGAUUCACUGCCAAAAACUCCACGAAUUGAACCAUGAUAUACAGAAGAGCUCUAAUGACCCCUGCUAAUUUCUCUCUUCUCAUGCAUAUGUGGACCAUAAGCAUUAACUCCACCAAAUACUACAUGCAUGCAUGCACUACAAGCCAAGCAAAUGCCCACGUGAAAGAUCCAUUUCUUAAUCACCGUUAGCUUUUUUCGUAUGAUUAAAUUCCGGCCAUUUUUAAAAUACCACAUGCUAACUCUGAUUUAAAUAAUUCUUUUUCCUAAAUUCAUCUAAAAUCAUGAUCUACCUUCCAUAUUAAUUUUAUGAUUUUUGGAGCUUAUUUUAAUUUAUAUGAUUAUUUAUCUGUGCCUGUUGUCUAUGUCGUUCGUCGCGUAUUUUAGUUGACGGAGUGAACGAGCCAGAAAACGCAGACGUUGGAGACGAGUACCGCGAGUUUGACGCCGAGGACCUAGACUGUCAGCAGGAGUUUACCGAGGACGCCGACGGAGGCAAGUCCAAGCGAUUCCCUUUGAUGCAUAUUGAUCCUAUUUUUAAACACAACCCGUAGAAGCCGUUUUAAAUAUUGCAUGUACGAUAUAUGUACGAAGUAUUUUCGCUGCUUAGUUAAAACCUGUUGAAUAGCCAUCCUUGAAUUGAUAUUACCCGGUAAUUGUCUUGUUCGAACCUAGGAACAAAUAAUAUGGUAUGACAGAAAUAUUAUUAUUUAGUAUGCUUAGGACUUGUUACUCAUCCUGGAUACUCAUCGCUAUAUUUUCUCAAAUAUAAUGAUUUUAAAAGUAAAAUGUAUGAGUGGUGAAAAUAAAUUGUGGGUAUUGUGAAAGGGUUAAUGAACAAGUUAUAGAAGUGAUCACUAUAGAGAUGGGGCGGAUGGGAUCCCUGUUGGGGGAUGCUUUGGUGUUGUGGCUUAUACCUUGCGGGGUUAAGUAUGAAGAUAUCCGCCUUGUCUCGAUUAAGGACCGAGUUGAUGAUUCAUCUUGCCUAACUCAUUUAUCGUACAACCACUCGCCUUGCAUGGGAAAGGCUUAGUCUAAAUCCCUCUAGUCAGUAUGGCAAUCACCUGGAGGCAGGUGUGCAACGGGACACUAAGAGAUGUAUGUGAAAUGGUGAAAAUAUAUGAAAUAUAAAGAGCUCUGUGAAUUAUUGUGGUAUCAUGAGAUGUGGCCUUAGUGUUCCCGUGGUGAGCGCCAUUACUUAGCUAUGGAGGGUAAUGACUUUGAUGGAUCUGUGCUUGCACGACGGUGUAAGUUAUGGUAUCCUACUUGUAGGAAAAGUGUACAACCUCUGCAGAGUGUAAAUCUAUCUGGAUAGCCGUGUCCGCGGUCUCGGACGGGUUAUGGUUUGGUUUCAACAACUAGAUGGGUUGGGAUGAGUGAAAAUAUGAGAGUGAGUGUGAUUUUGGAAAUAAAUGAUUGACUGCCAUUGUGUUGUGGGAACAAGGGUUCAACAACACUUAAAAUUGUGAUCAAACCCCCAUUUUUAGAAAUACUAUCAUAUGUGGAAAAAGAGUUCUUUUACAACAGUAUUUGUGAAAUGAAACCUUGCAUGUGUAAAAAGAUAGCUUUAUGCAAAUAAAACUAAGCCUCAUCCUUGAUUUGUCCAUAUGCAUAUAUAUUGUUAUCCCCUUCCUAGGGUAAGGUUGGAUUUGCUGAGUACUUUGUACUCACCCUUGCUUUAUUAAACAGAGGAAGAUCCGGACUUCGAUCCCGAAGUGGCGUUCGAGUAAGGUCGUGUCUGCACCCAACUAAGCCUGUGGUAUUAGGAACAUCUCGAUUAUUCAAGCAUAAUUUUGUCCCCCUAUUCAUAGGCGGAGCCAUGUUGGGGCAAAAUGGGCCACGACGCCGUCGAGAUCAGAAUGGAUGUGGCUUUGCUGUUGUUGGCCUGAGCAGCAACAUCUGCGAUGAUACUCGACUGAGGAGAGAGAAAGUAAGUAUUGAGCUGCUACUUGUGGAGCACUAUGCCCAUUUGCUAUUCUCAGCUCUUAGUUCUUACCUUAUUGCUCUUCUAAUUUCUUGGUUCUUACCCAUUCUGCGACAUGCAUCGUCCUCUGAAUGUACCCUGUUCUAUUUAACUUGACUUUGUGUACAUGACAGAGUUUCAGAUUCUCUGAAUGCCUAUAUGUUUGAACCUUGAUUGGUUUCUGUCCCCGUAUCUUCAUUCAUUGCAGUACCAGUUUGUAAACUGAAGCUAUCUGAAGCUUCAGCUGAUCAACCAAAGGAAAGAUUUCCCAUUCACAUUUUUUAGGAGGCCUCUUGAAGGUAAGCCAAAAAACAAAGUUACUAGCAUCUUCUGUAACUUCUCUACUAUCCAGUGUAAUUCUGAAUUUUUUUACUAUUAUUCAUGUUCUCCAUCUGAACAAAAAGCCACACCUGAAACAACCCAAGCUGAUAGUUGUAUCCAAAAAGGUAGCAUUUGGUGUCAAACGACCAACUAGCACUAACUGGUGAUUUAUAUAGAUUCCAUACUGUGCAGUCACUUAUAUAAACAAUAUCAUUUGAACAUUAUAUUUUUUAUUGCAUCUUAUACUACUUUGCAGGAUGAUAUAAAUUAUUUCAAGUUUAAGCUACCUACUAUAUUGUGAGAUUAGAGAUUCAACAUAAAGAAUAGAGGUCAAGAACUUGAUAGGCCAAGUGAUGACGAAGAUCGUCCAAGUGAUGUUGAAAUUAUCGAUGCGCUUGAAGUGCCUAAGCCAUCCGCCAGAACAUUCAUGGACAAAAAUGAAUUGUUGCAUCGGUUGUGGACAUACAUAUGGUCGAUCGAAGACCAAGAGUGUUUAGAGUAAGUUUUUUAACUAAUUGCGUAAUAUAGUAAUACUUAAAACAUGUGAUCAACUAAUUCUUGAUCUUUGCAUUGCUUUUUAGCAAAGAAUUGGUCCGAAGCACCACACCGUACCCAAUCUCUAUAAGUUUCAGGACAAUUAGAGAUAUUUUAGAUGAAAUCAAACUCAUGGAUAGUGAAUGCUACAAUAUGGCUGUUCGGAUGAUUGCAUACAACAUAGCUAGGUUGAUUAUAGAAGAAGACAAAUACCACUUCAUGGACUCCAGUUCUGUGCAAGUUCAUAUAAUUGUUCACUUGUUAUGUAUAAUUAAAUGAAUAAUUACUAAUUUUGCAAAAAUGAGCAGGAUAUAGCUCAGAUUGGAUGAGAUCCACGGUGUCGUGAUGAGACUACAAAGAACUAGCAAAGUUAUUUGAAUGUUGGGAGGUGUGCUACUAUAUUAAAGACCACAACAUUGUAAGAUAUAUGUUAUGUAAACUCUUUUAAAAAUUUAUAUUAUUUUGCACUUAUAUUGGUGCUCGCUUUACAGGUUAUAUUGCCAAAUUAACGAGAUAUGGCUCCAUUUUUUAUUCAUAACAGAUAUGAGAAACAAAUUGUGUACAUUAUGGACCCACUUUCUCCUAAUCUAAAGUACACAGGCAAUGAUCAAUGCAAGUCAUAUCUAACUACAUUGCAUGAUAUUACAUAUCAUUUCAAUCAUGCCAUGAAAUUGGCAAAUCCUGCACGGAACGCUAAUAUUUCUGAUUGGCAUCCUAAAUAGCCAACAUGGCUUCUAAGAAAUUCUAGCUGGUAAUACUUGUAACAUAUUUCAUCUUUCUUAUCAAAUAGUUAUCAAAAAAUUAUUUUAUUUAGCUACAACAAUCAUAGUGUCUUGUGAUGGAUGUUUGGUUGUUUCUAAGUGCACCCUUAAAUAAAACCGUGGCAACGCACGGGCACUAUACUAGUCCAAUAAGUAAUCACGUCAAUGCUUUCAACAGCAAUAAUGAAAACCAAUCUACUGUUUGCCAAAAAAAAAACUACUGAGUGUAGGUAACAGCAAUUCUGUCAUUUGCCGCCGCAAGCUCAUCUGCUGGUGUAGUAAUUCUAUUUCAACGGGACGUGCACCUCUGCAGAAGGUAUACCUAACUCCCUUGCGUAAAAUACGCGUUUGCCUUCGUGUCUUGGGCACUCAGUGUGAUAGGAACAGAGUUCCUACUUCGUCUAGAGCGUAGGUUAUAGGAGUGGAGGAUUGGAGGGAGAGGUUUGAAGGAGGAAGAACGAUGGCGAGGUACCAUCGUGAGCAGCGAGGGUGAACGGUGCGCGUGCGCUGCGUGCAGGAGGAGUGGACGGCUAGAGCUUGAUCUCCCUGCUUUAUGCUUAAUUCUAAAUUUGUGUCCACUUACAAAGUAUUUAUACUCCUAUCAUAAAACAUGUGAAUAACUCAUCUAUUUAUCGGAAAUGAGACUAAUAUGGUCCUGAGACCCCCUAGGUCGGCGCCCCUUUAGCCACCGCUAGCCUUUCACCUAUUGUAGUGGACGUCAGUCAUAACAUCUCUCUCCUCCUGCACAAUCAGCUCGUCCUCAAGCUAAAAGUCGGGAGAGGAGGCACGAAGUUCGUCAUGAGGCUCCCAGGUAGCAUCGUCGUCUGGUAAGCCACGCGACUUGAUCAAAACGUGCCAAACACCACGACGUUGUUGUGCAUUAAGGGCACGUUCCGGGUCGGGAAGACGGCAGCCAUCGAGGAUAGGAGGCAGUAUGCCCGAGCGGUCAGUGGCUCCCCAUCAUGACGCUUCAGGAGGCCCAUGUGAAAGACGUCAUGAGGCAGGAGCCCUCCGAAAGCUCCAGUCGGUAGGCUACCGACCCUAUGCUCGCCAAAACCUGGAAGGGCCCGGCAUAUCGAGGUCCCAGCUUCCCUUUGGCCUAGGGAUCCAAUGAUGAGUAGUUUAUCUUUAAUAUCUGGGUUAUCAUCAUUAUUAUUAUUAUCAUCAUUAUUAUCUGUAGAUUAUUGGCCUUAACAAGUGACUGUGUGAUUGAUUUCUUCAUUAGUAAUCAUAUUUGACAAAUCCAUCUCUGAGCCUACUCCUUAGCUCCUCUCUAAGCUAAAAUAUAAAUAUGAUACGUGGAAUACUCCCGAUGAAGUGCUACAAUGGUAUCUAUCUGUGCGCUUGCGGAUUAUAUUUUAUAGUAUAUAUCAUCAUUCAAGAGUUCAGUUUAUUAAAUACCACCCUCGUGUGUUUUUAGCACUACUGUUAGGGAUGACAACCUAGUAUCUAGGUCAUGUUAGAAAUACCAACAGCCGUGUCAAGUCAAGACGUGACGUGACGCGCACAUACGUUUUGCCUCGUGGAAAAAGAAAGAGAGAAAAAACGAGAUGCAGAUUCAAAUCAUGUAUGUUAUCAGAUUAAUGGCAAUUGAUGCUGAUUGAUUACAAUUGAUUGGCGUUUCCUCUCUCGCCUAUAUCCUUCCAUCCACGCAGUCUCCUUCCCCUGUCUGGAAUUUCAUUCCUUGUCAAGCAGCAGCAGUCUUUCCCGUCCCGAACAUCUGCGCGCACUGAGAGAUCGGGAGAGCAGGCCUUCGAAACCCAAUACCUUGCCUCGAGACAUCUGCUGGGGUGUGCAGACAAUCAGGUUUUUGGGAGCGUCUUCUGCGACUGCUCGCUUCAUCUCUCCUUCCUUGGAUUCGCAGGAUUGCUUCUUGGUGCACGCUCGUUGUCUUCUUCCUUGGAUCGUCUUCUUUUGGUAUACACCGCGGAUCACUGGAUCGAAACAUCUACUUCCUGGUGGACGUUUGCGGGACUGCACUGCGAACAUCUUUCUGCAUCGACUGUGGUCCACUACUUCAAGCAACACACUAUGUUGACUAGUGCGAAUGGAGUCGUCGGUGUCUUCGGCACUGGUCUCUCCUCUGAGUAUAUUCUUAAACUGUUAUAUCUUAUUUUCAGUAUGUCUACAAUCAUAUUUGCAAUAUUUAUCACUAGUCUGAGUAGCAAUAAAAUUGCACACAUGUACAUAUAUGCCACCACCAGUGGCGGAGGACUCGGUAGGGCAAGGUAUGGCGCUCGCCAUACCUUGCUUUUGCCCUGCAGAUCACCAGCCGCUAUGGACUUUAUCCUCCGAGUUGGCGAUAUGAGAUGAGAAAGGCAAAAAACUUCACGAGGAAGAAGAUAGGAGGCAGCGAAACGUUUAUGGGCCGCUCGUUUUUCUGUUAAUGGAUCCACCCUACAGCCCAACCCUAGCUCUCUUCUGAAUGGUUGUGACCUCCGAAAGGGUGGACUGGGCGAGCGAUGGGCUCACGAGCGCCGUCGAGUCCGCAACUCGUCACCUGCUUGACUUCGUGUCCCCAUUGUUUGAUCUGAUUUUAUGUUUUUUCCCUUACCGACAGCAAGUAGAUGGCAUUUGCAUCAUCUUCUUUGACUUCUCUUGACUUGUCAUUAGGCCAGUCUCAAUUCAUAGUUUCAUGGCACAGUUACCAAGACUAUAAACUAGUUAACCGAGCCAUAAGAGUUUCAUAGGGAUGAAACUCCUCUCUCAUCUAAUGAAACUCCUUCAUUUAAUGACCCUGUCAAAUCAGCAAUUUUGCUUAUAUGUCACCCUAUUUAAUGUGUAUGACACUCUCAUGAAACAUACAUUGAGACUGGCCUUAGUGUGAUAGCGUUGCAUUUCUUUCUUCCUAGAUCCCUCGGUGCUCAAUGGUAUGCUGGUGCUGCUUUCAGAUCCAACGAUAGACGAAGAACUGCUGAUGAGAAUUGUGCUGAUGACUAGUUUUUCUUACAGAAAAAUAAUGAACACAUAUACGUCUAGCCAUAUUGGUGCUAUAUAAUAGAUCAUUUCUAUGUGUUUUGUACUUUGAUUUUAUACCAUAGUUUGUUGUCUAUAUAUGCUACCAAUUUCGCCAUACCUUAAUUUUUUUCUGUCCUCCGCCACUGGCCACCACCUUGUUGAUUAUAUUUAUCUAGAUUAAAUCAAACAUUAAAUCAAUGAAAAGAAAAGAAGAGAACUCACCGCCGAACUGUUUGUCGCCUACAACGCUAUUGUCAUCCGUGAAAAAUGGUGGACACACACUGUUGCUAUCGCCCUUUUGGUUUUGAACGGGUGGACAGCGGUGGCUGUGGGGACUGUUCACUGCUGUUGGCAAAUCCAAGAUUAGGGCCUUGUUUAGUUUAUCUCAAAAUUCAAAAAAAAAAUCAAGGUUUUUUAUUACAAUAAAUUUUACAGUAUAUGUAUAAAAUAUUAAAUAUAAAUAAAAUAAUUAUUACAUAGUUUAUUUAUAAUUUAUAAGACAAAUCUUUAGAACCUAGUUAGGUUAUAAUUAGACAAUCAUGCGUAGGCUGGACCGCUAGAAACUGUGUCGCGUCAACUGUCGCGCCAACUCGCCGUAUGGUCCAGACUUCCGGCUAGGCUUUUUUUAGCUCCGAAAUUUUUUGAUUUCUGGGACUGUAACAAUUUUAUUUUUAUUUGAUAAACAUUGUAUACUAAUGAAGUAAUUAGGUUUAAAAAUUCAUAUCAUGAUUUACAAAUAAACUAUGUGAUUAAUUUUUAUUUUCGUCUAUAUUUAGUGUUUCAUACAUGUGCCGUAAGAUUCGAUGUGACGAGAAAUAUUAAAAAGUUUUUGAUUUUGGAGUGAACUAAAAAGGCCUAAAAACACGUGAAGUUGCACGCAGGCGACUAGACAAGGACUUGCUCUACGACUGCCAGGAACUUCCAGUUUCAGGCGGUGGGAUUGCGCACGCAGUGUCCUCUGCCUGACUCUCCGUUGACCUAACCAAAGUCAUUUUUUUAGUACUCCCCGUCCUAAAAAAAUAAAUAUGGAGUAAAUCAAAAAGUUAAAGUUUUUUAAAAUUUGACUAAGUUUAUAUAAGAUGUUAUAUUCAAUUAAAUCAUUAAUUAAGUUUAUUAUGAAAAUAUAUUUUAUAAUUAAUCUAAUGAUAUUUAUUAUUGAUACUUUUUAAAUUAUAUUUAGUUAAAAUUAAGAAUAUUUGACGGAGGUAGUAUUUUCAAGGCGCGUCAUCCUAUCCUCCCCUAAUCGCUUCAAAUUACCACCACACAAACCGCACGCAAUCCGCUGGGUUGAAGUCGCACCAGUUCACACCGGGCAAAUGUACCGGCCGCAGAAGGCGAAGCGAGGAAAAAGCGGAGCUGGCAGCGCGAUGACGCCGCGGAAGCGGAAGAGCCGAAGAGGUACAGACGGGUGAGGAUGCCAGUUUUGACUGACAGUCUGACGCGUGACGCCUCCCUUCUCCGUGGAAGAAAAAAGUUGCUGCGGCUUCGCGAUCCGGGGUGUGCUGCCUGUGCGUCCCAGGAAGAGAAGGGUCGCGUCGCGUCGGUUUCCGUCUCUGCCGGGGGGCCUGCAGAGUGAAGACUGCAGUGGGGCUGACGGUUGUUGACUUGUUGAGGAGGCAAAGGCAGCCCGCGCCCGCUACCCGCUCGCUCCCUUCCUUUUCGGGUCAAAAGCAGGGCAUGUCAUCCAUGAUUCCGGCGAGAUUCGAGCGCUGGCGCCGUCACGUCUGAUUGGGAUCACCGGAUUCGUUAGUUCAAGAGAAACUACCAUAAGAGCAUGUACAACAGUGAGACAGAUGUUAAGUUUUUAAAAUUUACAAUACAGAUGGCUAAACAGACAGCUCGUACAACUUACAGACAGCAUGCUAUCUAUUUGAUUUUUUAUAAAAUAUUUAAUGCUUGCAUAUAACUUUGAUCAAUUAUGAAUAUCAUUCCUAUAUACCAUUGUGUUGCUAAUUAAUACAAAUAUAUAUUGAGAGAAAAAAUUGCAGGUUCCAUAUAUUGGCUUCUUUAAUUAGUUCACACCCAACUGGUAAACCAUAUAACAGGUCAUUGUCAAAAUUACUAACUGAACUACCACUAUGUACCAAAGAUCAAGAGAUGGAUGGUGCACGCUUGUUGCCUGUAUGGGUAGGUAUAAUUGUAUUUCUGGUGUAUUUCUUUUUUUAUUUUUUUAUAGGAAAAUGGCAAGGUGACAUGGGUGUGACCUUGCUGGUGGAGGAAGCUUGGACAAGACGCGGCCGUUGCUGCCUCCAAGUCUCGAUCGGACUACGAUCGCCUCUGCAUUGCCUUUCUAUGUCGCAAGGCACUCGCUUCGCUCCUCUGUGCAAGACGCGGCAGCCAUCUGCUCAUGUGCCGCCGCUGCCUCAUGGUUGCUGCAGAUUUGGGGAGGGAAAUACCUGCUGCCGCAAACCGAUAGAGAACUCAUGCGGCCACAGCUAGAUCCCAGCGUGCGUCGCCUGGAGAAGACGUCCCCAUACAACGGGGCUUCGGCUGUCUAAUUAGGGCCUAUUUAGAUGCAGCCAAACAACCAAAAUUUUUGGAAAAAUAAGCAUGUUUUGGAAGAAUAGAUCUAAAUAAGGGCUUGUAAAACUUGGCUGUAAAGAUUUGGAAUUUGGGACCUUGGAGCCCCAAAACUGUAUAAACUUGCUUAGGGACCCGUGUCAUGUGUCUUGCAGAUCAAAAAAUUUGAGAAGCAUUAAACACCUAUUUGAAUGUAAAGUUUACAGUCAAAAGUUUUGGAAUGUAAAGAUUUAGGAUCUAAACAGGCCCUUAGUAUCGGAGCACACGCUGCUGCCGUCGCUUCAUGAGAAGACGGCUUUCUUCUCUUACUUCAUUUAAUGCCGUCGGAGGGGGUGUUUUUUGCAAAUACACGUCUCUGCAGACGGCACUCCGGCGUCCGUUGUACGUGCCCUAAUAUUAGUAAUAAGAAACUACCAUAUUAGUAACAGUUUUGUAGUCAAGCAAAUACUGAUAUUAAAGAGGGAAGAACAUGUUUCUCAUGCAAGCAAACUAGGUACGAGAGCUUACAAGUGUCGGCCCUACACAUAAAUAUGAAGACAGCUAAAAAAGGAUAAUGUGUCAUACGAGUAAAAGCAAUAAUCAAAAAAAGUUUCUUAUAUAUAUAAGAUAUUCUAUUGUAUAAACUUGUUUUUUUACAACUUAGCUAAUAGCUAAGCACUUGGCUUUAUUAACUUGUUUUUAAGUGAGUGUGUUGGUCAUCCAAUAUCCAAGCACAGUGGCCUGUGAGCGGAGCCAUCCGAAAGAUGCACCAGGGCCAAUGGGGGCGAGCAAAAAUACGUCAGGGUUGCAGAGUCGCGGGCAAGGGUGGCUGGAAUCAAGCAUUUUCAAGUGAAGAAAGAGAAGGGAAGGGGCUCAUGGUGAUGGACAAGUCUAUUGUCUCAUCCAUUCCUAUCUCUCCAACUAAACAAUAAAAUGGAAUGAUUUCAACCCCCCCGCCCCCCAAUCAAACAAUUCUAUAGGAUCAUCUCAUCCUUAAGAAGCAUAAUAUGUUUCUCGUGUUCCCUUUUAUCCCCCAAACCAAACACACCAUAAUUAGAUAACUCGUGAAAUGGAUUGGUUAUGAUUUGCCACUAAGACUUUGUUUUUCACAAGAUUUUACCACAAAAUCAAUAAGAAUGAUGCUCUUUAGUUGGCAAGGCCAUGGAGUUAGCAACUGAACUAGGUGUCAAUCUAAGAUACCUAUAAGUGGAGUGUUGUAUACGAAACGUUCAUGUAAGUAAAUCUACGAUAUCAAAAUCUAUCUUUAUCUAAACAUACAUGCAUCCAUAUCUAUAUUUAUUUAAAAAUAUUAAGAGAGAGAUGAAUUCUUGUAUCUAUCUUUUUUUCUUCUUCACAUCUCUUUCUAUCUCGUACGCGAUAAAAUUUUAUAACCCAUGCUCAUACGAAUUAAAAUAACACGCAUUCAACAAUAAUAACAAGUUUAAUUUUAAGAUAUAUUGAACUUAAGUCAUAGAUCAUCCAAGUAAACACGUAACAUGACAACAUAUAUAUGAUAAUCCGUUACAACCCACACAUAUAUUUGCUAGUAAAAAUGCAAUCUAAUAAUCUGGUUGUGUGCUAAUGACAACGGAAGUUGCAGCGUAUAUUGUAGGAGUAAUCGCAAAUUCUUAGGCCGUGUUUAGUUCACGAAGGGAAAAAUUUUAGGACACUGUAGCACUUUCGUUUGUUUGUGAUAAUUAUUAUCCAACCAUGGACUAACUAGGCUCAAAAGAUUCGUCUCGUCAAUUUCGAUCAAACUGUGCAAUUAGUUUUUAUUUUUGUCUAUAUUUAAUACUUCAUGCAUGUAUUUAAAGAUUUGAUGUGAUGGGGAAUCUUGAAAAAUUUUUGGUUUUUGGGUAGACGUAAACAAGGCCUUAAACAUCAAUCAGCGCCGGUGUAUCCAGCGUGGAAAAACAUAAACACGGCCAGCCAGCACAGCAGCAGGGCGCGCCACGGUUCGCGGCUUCACGCGGAUGCGCCCGCGACCCGACCCAACCCGUUUUUAACCACGCCUGGCCCCCCUCCCCGUGGAUCCCCUACCCUUCGUCGUCCCGGCCGAGAGGGAGGCGCGGCCCCAAUUCCUACCGCCUCCGGCCGCCAUCGCCGCGGCCGGGAAGACCUCGUCUAUCGCCUCCGCCGAGCACAAACGCCGCGCGGUCACUCCCUCCAUGUUCUCCCGCGGCCGAAUUCUCCACGCGACGCGCUCCGCACUCGGCUGCUUCGUGCCGGCGCCCCGCAGCGCCGUCCUCUCCUCUCCCCGGAGUCUAGUGUGGGCAGAGAUCCGUCCUGGUUUGGUCUCGGUCCGAUUCCUUCCCGUGCAGGUAAGCAGUUUCUCCGAGUAAUUCUUAGCUCGCUGGGAUGGAUUCCUUUGUUCUUAUUAUCUCGAACAACCAAACCCAGUUUUCGGCCAUUUCCAUGGCUCAAGUCAAAUUCACCUUUAAUUUAAUAAUACUCUCGGGUUUUGUUCCUAGUGAUUCACCAUCCCCGAUUUCUAGUUGUGAUUCCGUCAAAUUUGUAGCCGCGAUUUUUUUUUCUUAUGCGGUAGUCUGCAGCUGUUCUCAUUAGGGGUUCAUUUUCUUCUAAUCUGUCUCGGGGGAGGGGCCCCGGGGGCCUCAUAGCCCUGAAUUUAGUAGGGUACUCGGGUUGAUCUGUGUUUCGUUUGUGUUAUUUUAACAAUCGUCUGGUCUAUUUCUGUAGUUUUGCCAUAGUGAUUUCAAAAUUUCUCUAGCAAAACUGCAUGCACUUUGUUCGGUCUACUGCUGAAUAUAUUUGCAGGGAUGCGAAAGCUUUUGGAUUCGUACUCACAUGUGGGAUCAGGGGUUAGAUGGAAUUUUCAUAUAUCGUAUAAAAUUCUACUGUGUCAGUGGUCUACUAACCAUAUAUACUGUCCUCAGUGACGAACAU